CCCUUAAGGUUAUAAGAGCGUCCGGGAUUCACGUUGGAGUCUCUCUUAUUGAAGUGCUUGGAAGACAAAGAAACAGUUUGCAUCCCCAUUGUCUGUUUUUCACCCGAUAGAGAAGCCCUUCUAUUAUGGUUUCUGAUACUUCUAUUUCCUCCACUGCUUGAACUGUCUGCUGCUUCCUUGCUCUUUCUGGUUCCAAUGUUUCCUUUAUGAUGUGAACCUUGCUCUACCAUAGAAACAAAGGAAGGCAUUUCAUUUUUUGAAGAACCAGUAUCUUUCUUUUUCACUGAUAUAGCUUUCUUCUCCAUAACAGCAGAGUCAUUGAGUUUCCAAGUUUCAGAAUCUUGAGAAGGCUUAGAACUGUUUCUUGAUACCACUUUAGAAUUCAUCAUGCUGUGCACUGAUCCUGUGAGAGAAGAUGGCUCUGUUAGUUCAGGUUGUUCCUCCUCUAAAUCCAUGGAGUCUUCCAUAGUAACAUCAAUCUCUUUCUCCAAAGAAACAUUUAUUUUCUCUGUCACUAAUACAACAUUUUUCUCUGUGACAAAAGACUUGUUAAGUAUCUGGGCUUCAGAAUCUGGAGAAGGCUCAUGACUGGCCGUGGAUUUCACCUUAGAAGAUGGUUCAAAUUGCCGACGCUUCACCCUUGAAUGAAUGGAAUCUUCCAUAGGAACAUCAACUUCCUUAAAAGAUGAAACCUUUUUCAGAGUUCCUUUCUUUGUCACUGAUAUGACCCUUUUCUCCGUGACAAAAGAAUCUGGAGAAGGCUUAGAGUUGGUUGUGAAUGUCCUUUUCCUCUCAGCUUUAGGAGAUGCUUCCAAAUUUUCAUCCUUUCCAUACUUGCAAUAAUCAUGGCAGGAUCCCAGCGAAGCUCUGAGAUAACGGGAUUGGAUACUUCUAGCAAUAGAUCUCCUUCUGACAUCAGCAUCAUUGGCCUCUAUUCCCGCCGGGAUCACUAUGAUAGAGUUUCUUUUGAUGUCACCACCCUCGGGCUCCAUUUCCUGUGGGGUACAUGCAAUAGAGUUCCUUCUCAGAUCGCCGGAGUCCAUUUCAUGUAGGAUCACUGGAAUAGAAUUAGCUUGUAUAUCAUCACCAUCAAGCUCUAUUUCCUGCAUAGUCUCAGGGAUAGAGUUCCUUCCUACAUCACUGCCUUCGAGCUCCAUUUCCUGUGGAGUCACUGGGAUGACAUCAUUGGACUCAUCAACAUUAGACUCCAACUCCUGCGGGAUCACUGGGAUUGAGUCAGUGUUAAUAUCAUCAGACUCAUCACCCUUAGACUCCACCUCCUGUGGGAUCAUUGGAAUUCUGGAAUCAUCACCAUCCGACACUGUUUCCUGUGGGAUAACUGGUAUAGACUUCCUCCCGAUUUCAUCACCAUUUGGUUCUAUUGCCUGUUGGAUCACUGGGAUAGAGUUGUUAAUGAUAUCACCACCCUUUGAUUCCAUUUCCUGUGGAACUAGUGCAAUAGAAUGCCUUCUAAUGUGACUGACAGUGGGUUCUUUUUCUUGUGGAAUCACUGAGAUAGAGUUCCUUCUGCCAUCCUCACAAAUAACCUUCAAGUCUUCUAGGAUCACUGGGAUACCGAUAUUCUCAACUUCCAUUAUGAAGAAUAUGACAUUGCAUACUGACAACCCUGUAGAAGAACAAAAAUUCCCAAAAGAGAGUGUGAGUAGAGACUAUGAAACCGCAAAGCUACACAAUAUCAUAUCAACACCUUCCCUAUUGAAUUCGAAGUACUAAGAAAAAUUGAAGCAGAAUGUGAAGGUCUUAAAGCUUCACAAAGAUGUAAUCUCCUACAUAAGACAUGAAUCACAAAAUUCUACAAAGAUUUACUUGAAAUAAUUUCCUUACUUCAUGCAACAUGUUGAAAGACCAGUAGUCAAAGUAUCAAUUUCUAACAAAGUGACCUCAUCUGAAAAGGUUUACCUUAUAAGAUUUCUUUACAAGGUAUAUUUGUUCAAAACCAGAAAAACCAUAUGAAAAGAAAUAAUCACAACAAAGAAUUCAAACAAUGAACAAAACCAGACCAAAAGAUGCAACGAAUGAAACAAAGAUUCUCUGCAUUACAAACACCAAUGCAAUACAAUAGAACAGAUCCUUCAUAAACAACUUUGCAAUUCCCUAACUCAACAACUAGUUGAGAAAUAUUAAUCCACAUCCAGGCCCAGAAAGAAAAAGACAACAUAUCUCAUCAACCAUUAUCAACUGAACAAGGACCCUUUUUCAAAACUUAACAGAAAUCCUAUCGUGUUUGUUCAUCAAUACCAUAAUAAACUGUGCAAUAUACAUGUAUGAAUCAGCUGUUCAUUGAUACCAUCACAAAACAUCAAUCAUUUUUCCAAAACACACUAAAGAUGAUUCAUUUCAUACAGAAAUGACCACAAAGGUCAUUCUUUGACAUCAACCAUGUAAUCAUAAGCAUAAAACAGAUAAAACCCAAUUGAAAUUCGUCAAUAAUUAAAAAAGCUGACAUUGUAAGAAAAGGAAAAAAGGAUCACCAAGAUCAUACCUUAUUCUUGUCUCUCACCCCAACCCAAGAAGAGAAGAACCCUAGAAGGGGGAUGUAUUGGUUGCUUCAGAAAGAGUGGUGAUUUAUUAUGGGAAUAACAGCAAACGCGUUUGUUGCAACCAAAUUAUACCCAAAAAGACAUUUAUCAAAAACCUCUUUUUGCCGCGGAGAGAGAAAGUUCUAGAGAGAGAGAAUCUUUGAGCUCUAGAUAGAGGGACAACAAUCUCUGUGAAUAUGAUGUGUGAUUCCACGACAAAAACGCGCCAAUUAUAUAGGCCGUCUCUCCAUCAUAGUAGUUUAUACUCUUCGAUUUUUGCUUUUGUUUAUUUUCUUGCCCAGAAUUACCAUAGAAUAUUAGUGCGUAGAAUAUAUACCAAAUUACCAAUGAAUCCUAUGUAUAUGCUACAUUUGUGAAUGCCAAACCAUAUUCAUUUCGAUUUCAAAAAAAAAAAUCAUAUUCAUUUCAAAAUUAUACGAAUAUGCAAUGCACAUGCAUAUGAAUUAUUUUUCCAUAUAUUUGGAAUCAAUUACGCACGAAGAAUAAUCAUUUUAUGCAUAGUUGCAUACCAUGAGAAAGUAAGAACAUGAAAUCUAAGGGGUACGUCCGUACGUGUGUGUGUGCAUAUAUAAACUAAUUAAUAUUGACAUACCCAGUUUGGCAGUUUCAAGUAGAAAAGAUAGAGGUCCCUGGAGUCCAGGAAGAAACUUGACCAGGCUAGGGAGCAGCGAGAGAGUGCAGCUGUGAAACAAGUUAGACUAGAACUAGAACAGCUUCACCGUCUUCGAUUUAGCUUUAGUCCUUUUUGGUAAUUUCAUUUAAAGGGUGGACCCCUAAACCCGGCUCAGCCCACUAUAUCAUGACCGCCUAGGCCCGCGUCGUCUCUGCCUAGCCCGCAAAAGGCCCAAUUAGCACUAAUUAUUUUUUUUUUUUUUUGGCUGAAUGGCUAUUGGCGAAUGGCCACUUUGAGUCUCUCUGUUUUCCAGAGCAGCAAUGCAGGCGUCAACAACAUUGGCUUCGAAGCUGCUUACUAAUUAGUAAUUACUAGAGAUUCUGGGAAGCUUAUAAUUGUCUUCAUUUCUUCGUAUCGGUGUUCAUGGAGCGCCAUGUAUGUCCUCAUAUUAAACGGACUAGCCUUUUAUCUGUACAUAUUUGCACGGAAUCAUAAUCACAAUCAACUAAAGAUAAGUUUACCCUAUUGUACAGUUAUUCGUCUUACUAAUCAGUAGUUUUUAUGAUUAUUUAUUUAUUUAAUUUGUUUUGAUUUGUAUUUUGUUUUUACUAUAACAACCCUUAGUUUUUAUUUGUGUUAGUUGAUUCAUUAAGGAUAAUUAUGAAAGUUCACAAUUUGGUAAAGCUUUUAAGGGCCGGCUUUAUAGUAGUAGAGAUAUAUAUCCUGCAACAUUCCUUCUUGCUCUCUCAUCUCCUUCCUCUUCUCACUAACUAAUGAGCUCAGCUUACCAGAAGAUCCACAAGAUCGCAAUAGUCCAGCCAACCACCCACGAAACCGGCCAUGCCAAGAGCCUAGCUCUUCCACACUAAGUACUCUUCGAUCCCAUCUCGAUGUGUAUUAUUACUGUAUAAUGUACAGAACGUCAGACAUUGCUGAAACUAGGAGUUUGGUAGUGCAUGAUUGAUAUUGAAAGCAAGGCCAUGAUUAUGAUUCAUUGUCGAGCUUGGAUGGCUUAGAGCCUUAGAAGGUUAAGUACUUAUGGGGUAUAUCUACUCCAUGUAAUUUAACUUGCAAGCUUUACAUGCAUAAAGACCAAUCGUAUCGAUCAUUGCUUAUUUGCUAGCUAGGUAGGAUAUAUAUUGAAUGGUAAAUGACAUUUAACUCUACUUGCAGACUUAGAAUGCACACUGAUAAUAGAUAUUUACCCAAAUAGUGAAUCAUUUCCAUCAUUCCAUGCCAACUGGUUUCUUACUCGAAUGGAUUCAGUUUUACCUACUAAUAUAUGUGUAAAAGAGUGAGAUCGAAGAAAAGGAAAUGAAAUGAAAGAGGAACGUACUGUCUGCAUGUACUCGACUCAAUGACCACAUUUGGAAGUCAAAUGAAAAUGAGGGAACUGUGUUGAACAAAUUAACAUGUUUACUGUUUCAUGAUUGCUCAUGUUCCCCUAGCUUCAAGAAGUGCUUUUAGAGGAGACAAAUAAUCUAAGCUACGCAUUGAUUCAUUAUGUCACGUCUGUCUGUUUCCAAACUUGCAAAACCCUCUUGAUCUCCAACAUCAUUAUGAACCAAAAUAUAUAUCCAUAUAUAACUCCAAAAUCUUUGAGCAAUCUUCAACAACAAAAUACAAAGGGGAAAUUAUUGAUGCAAAAAGCAUGAUCCCGACUUAUCUUUAUAAGAAGAAAUCUUUGCAAUUAUCUUAUUAAUAAAUAUGCUUCAACUCAAUUUAUACCUGUUCAUGAUUAUCAUCUUUGUUUAUAAGGUUACUGCAUGCAUGCUUUGGUAUUACGCCAUGCAUUAAUCUCACAAUAAUAGGUGGUUUUUUUUUUUUUUUUUUAAGGGUUUUNNNNNNNNNNNNNNNNNNNNAAGCUCAGCCCUACGCCCGGUUCCAGUUAUUUUAUUGAAAAAAAAAGAAACAAAAGAGUACAUAAAGGGAGGGGGACAUAAACCAAAACCUCUCUAAAAAAAAGAAGAACAACACAAAAACCUAUGAUCUACUAAGGACAAAGAACAACGAAGAACAAAUUCGUUGAUGCUGCUGCCUAAUGAAUUACAAAUCAAAAAACCAAUAUAAGAUCAGAAACUAAAACAAUAGUUAGGAAAGCCUGUUAAAUCACAUGAAUAAGCUGUAAUUGCACAAGGUGGACAUGAAUCCCACCAAUGAACUCCCGCAUUAUCCGCACCAAAAUUUGCUAAGCAGUCGGCAACGCUGUUACUCUCCCGAUAAAUAUGAGAUACUUUAACAGUCAUAGUAGUAAGAAUAGUCCGACAGUUAAACCAUUCAGUAGUGAAACGCCAAGGAACAUCUACUUGAAAUGAAGAAAGAAAAUGAAUCACUAAAGUAGAAUCACUAAAGUAGAAUCACUUUCAAUCCAAAGAAAAUAUCAACCUCUCUGCGAAGCCAUUUGAAUGGCGUGAAUGACCGCCUGCAGCUCAGCUUCGAAUGCAUUAGCAAUGCCAAGAUUUCCUGAAAACAACCUAAAACCUGACCCAAAUGAUCUCGAAAAAUGCCACCAAAACCUGCCAGACCAGGAGAGCCACGAGCCGCACCAUCAGUGUUAAGCUUGACUUGAUAAAUAGAGGGAACAUGCCACAUAACUUCAACAAUUUUCGGAGCUUUAGAUGGCCUACCCUUAAUACCAAUGCGAUGUAAAAUGCAAAGCUCACCUACAGUAUUCUUCAUUGUAGCCCUUACUCAAAAAAUUAAUCUCAUGAAGUUGCAUCUUAAUAGAAUGGAGUAAGGAACCUGACAAUAUGAUUAACUCUUGAAAGCGAAGAGCAUUCCUUGCAUGCCAAAUAGCAUAAAAACCAGCUCCAAUCAUUCCCCACCAUAACAAAGUCAACUAAGAGCUAUAACCAUGACGUACUGGGUAGGUAAAGAAAGAAAUAAUAUUAUUGAAGACACCCCGAACCUGAAACAAAUCUAAAAGAUUCCCCCAGAUAUUAGUUGCAAAAGAACAAUGCAAAAAGAGGUGCUCUGCAGUCUCAACAGUAUUAUGACAGAGGGAGCAAACUGAAGACAAAUGGCAACCACGAAGUUGUCGAAUAUCAUCAGUAAGUAACUUUCCAUGCAUGUAUUUCCACAAAACUACUGAGUUCCUAGCACGAAAACAUGAAUGCCAAACAAACCGAGCCCAAGGAACUCUAGGAAGAUGAGGACGUUUUAAAUCAUAAGCAAGAGCUACUGUUAGCUUACCAUCAUUUGCAGACUUCCAAACCAACCUGUCCACGAAACCAUCUUUGAAAGGGAGAGUAAUCUUGAUGAUAUCUUCCCAAAAAGGCGCACACAAUGACUGUAAGUUAAUGGGACAAACCCAGCAACCAUUAUUAAUAAAAUUCGACAACUUCAAUUGUAGAGUAUUAGCUACUGAAACUGGAAUAUUCAAGCGCUCAAUGAUUGAAGAACCCAACCAAUUAUGAUGCCAGAAGUCAAGAGUUGUAUUAGAGCCUAUAAUCUAUUGUGAACCAUCCAAAAUAUCUUGGAAGAGAGGACGAAAACCAGGCCAGAUAGAAGAACGCUUGUAGUAAGUGCAUAAUAAUAUAGGUGAAUAAUAUAGGUGGUUAGGAUACCAAAAAUAAGAGAGUUUCUGCUCUAGAUAAAAGAUUAUAUCCAAUCACCAUUCAAUCGAGGAAAAAAACUACUAUUUUCUUUUAGAUCUGCUUGCUUAAACAAAGUUCCCUCUACUAUAUAAUAUAUAUAUAUAUGCCCUCGUCACCAACACCAUACCAAACUUUCUCACAUGCUUCUUAAUUAUUUCUUGUAUUUCAAUUAAUCUACUAAAUCAACCAGAUCAUAGCUCGCCGAUAAUUAACUAACAUUCUUUGUUCAUCGAGGAAAAACUUUGAAUUUCUUUUGAAAAGAUAUAUCCCCAUCUCGCCGACAAUCAAAUAACAUUCUUUGUUCAUCGAGGAAAAACUUCCAAUUUUUUUUAGAAAGAUAUAUCCCCAUCUGCUUGCUUAAACAAAGUUCCUGCUAUAAAAGCCCUCAUCACCAACACCAAACUUUCCCCACACCCCCAUCAAAUCAAACUCCACACAACCAAUAGAAAACCCAUAGACAGAACAAUGGUUUCUGAGAGGUACCAAUGCAAAAGUGUAUGUGUAAUUGGGGCUGGACCGUCGGGCCUUGUUGCUGCAAGAGAGCUGAGGAAAGAAGGUCACAGAGUGGUGGUGUUGGAACAAAACCAUGAUGUAGGAGGUCAAUGGCUGUAUGACCCAAAUGUGGAGGGAGAGGACCCUUUAGGAAGGAACACUACUAGUCCUACUACUAGUACUAAUUCUCAACAUCUCAAAGUCCACAGUAGUCUUUAUACCUCUUUAAGGCUUACAUCCCCUAGAGAGAUCAUGGGGUUCACUGAUUUUCCAUUUUCAGUUAAGAAGGGUAGAGACAUGAGAAGGUUUCCUGGGCAUAGGGAACUUCUUUUGUACCUUCAAGACUUCUGUGACUGGUUUGGGUUAAGGGAUUUGAUUAGGUUCAAUACUAGGGUGGCUUAUGUGGGAAUGCUGCAGGAUCAUGUAACGGGAUGCCAAGAUUUGAAAUGGCUCGUUAAGAGUGUGCAGAAGAAGACCCAGAUUGUGAUGGAAGAGGUGUUUGAUUCUGUGGUUGUUGCCACUGGCCAUUACUCUCAGCCUAGAUUGCCUUCCAUUAAAGGUACACUAAAUUCCUAUGAAUUUCUUUAUUUAUUAGUAUGAAACUUUGUUUUCGAUCGAUCUCUCCUUUCUUCUUUUCAAUCUUGUUGAUCGUGUUUAGGAAUGGAUUCAUGGAAGAGGAAGCAAAUGCACAGUCACAUUUACAGGGAUUCCAAGCCUUUCCGCAAUGAGGUAAUUGACCGGCAUGUAUUUGAUGUAUUAGAGUUUUUCACAAGUUCAUGUUUUUGACGUUCAAUAUUAAUUUCUGGUUCAAGGUUGUGGUUGUGGUUGGAACUUCACUAAGUGGGCAAGACAUAUCAAUGGAGCUAGUAGAAGUGGCAAAGGCAGUGUACCUCAGCGCAAGAUCCAUGAACAAAAUCUCUGAGGGCUUAUCAAAGGUCAUUUCCAAGCAUGAUACUUUGGAUCUUCGUCCACAGGUACUAACAAUCACAUCGAUCUCAUGGUUACACCGAAAGAGAAGGAAACCUCUAAGCUGGUUUAGUCCCAACUUAAUUUUCUUCCCUUUUCACCAUAAGUUUAUUACAUGUGUGAUGUUAGUGAUCACUUUUAACUGCACAAUUCAUAUGCAGAUAGAGUCCCUUCAAGAAGAUGGAAAGGUAUUGUUUGUGGAUGGUUCUUGGGUAAUUGCAGACACUAUCAUCUACUGCACAGGGUAAAGUUCCAUUCCAAAACUAUUUUGGUACUGUUUAGAAGACACAAUUAUAGAAACUAAAUGAUUGCUUAGGAAGCAAGCUAUCAAUGCCCUAAACUGUACCAACUUGACCUUGACUGGGAGAUUUUCUCGAUCUGGGUCCUUGAUAUGAAAAAUCCAGUGACUUCUAAGUGAGUUGUGACUUGUGUGUGGACCUUUGUGCAGGUAUUCAUACACAUUCCCAUUCCUUGACACCAAAGGAAUAGUAGCUAUUGAUGAUGACAGGGUGGGUCCUUUGUAUGAGCACACCUUCCCUCCCUCACUUGCUCCUUCUUUAUCUUUUAUUGGCAUUCCUAGAAAGGUAAAACUAAAAUUGACACAUCCCAAUUUGUUUUCUUCUUUUUCUUUGGCCACAACAUAUAUAGCUUUCAUGUUCAUCAUAUAUAUGUUCCAUCCAGAUCAUAGGGUUCCCUUUCUUUGAGUCACAAGCAAAAUGGAUAGCUCAACUGCUCUCCGGAAAAAGAACAUUGCCAUCAUGGGAGGAAAUGAUGCAGUCCAUUAAGGACUUCUACCACUCAAGGGAUGUUGCUGGCAUCCCAAAGUAUCAGACUCAUGAUAUUGCAGAGUUUGAGGUAAAAAUGUUGGUUACCCCUGAUAGUGAAAACUGAUAUUUACAGACUAUUUUUAAAAAUCUUUUAUACUUAAUUACCCACCGCAAUUCACGUUGCUUGCAUUCUAAGCUAUCUGUCUAGUAUCCUCUAAAAAAAAGCUAUCUCUAGUAGGCCUAAAUCGUUUUAUUGUUCUUGCAGUAUUGUGACAAAUAUGGAGAUCAUGUUGGGUUCCCACAUUUAGAGGAAUGGAGGAAAGAGCUUUGUCUUUCUGCCUUGAGAAAUUCCGAGACCAACUUAGAAACAUAUAGAGAUUCGCUGGAUGAUCAUGACUUGCUUCAAGAGGCUCUUCAGAGUCCACAUUUCACUCAACAAGAACAAGGAGCUCAAGAUUUUCCUCUGUAAAAAGCUAAAUUAUUCUUGGUUGUUUAAAUAUAUUACAUGUAUUUGUUGUUAUUUUGUUGAAACUUGAGAGGAAUUACUAUUAAAUAAACAGUAAUGACACAAGAAAAUAGCUUCUGAACAUUUGUGUUUGUAAGAAUAUCCUUUUUUGUUUACUCUAGUUGAAGUGACAAGAUUUUUUUUUCCCCCCAUAUGAAUUGUAACUAAAAAUGAAACCUUCUACAAAUGUUUGAUAAAUUUGACUGGAGAAAAAGAACUCUCAUAGUCCUACUAUAUCAGUUUGCCAUAAACACUACAAUGAAUAUAUCCUUCUGCAAAGAGGGGACUCUCAUGCAUGAAUGUCAGGGCUUACUUUCUGUGAGUUCUAUCCACCCCAGCUUAUAUACCCACCCACAUGUAUGAACUCUGAAGGUUUGGAGGACAUGUACAAAAACCAACCUAACAAGUGACACAAACCUCCCAGAAGAGCAUUAAUAAGAGACUAUUUGCCUUUCAUUUCCUAUACCUUGCUACCCAGAUUUCUCUGCCCUCUACGCCCCCUGGUUACCUCCCCCCAAUCAAUUAGGCUUCUCCUCUCCCUUUCCAAUUGCCGUUUAACACCAAUGUGAUUCAAUGGUGAUGCGGCAGUACUCUCUUUUACAUUGGAAGCAGAAAUGGUGCACUUCCUCCUCCCCCUUGUCAACCCAAAUUUAGCUGCAUAUCUUACUGAUCUUGUUUCGGAGCAAUCAGCAGAAGCCUCAAUUAGUGUUCCUAUGAUCUGAAGAUCCUCACUCACCUCACAUCUUGACAAAGAUUCAAGGCCCGGGAGAACUUCCUUUUGGAAGUUCUUCGUCCACUGCAUUCCUUUUCUUGGUCGACCCUUUUUUGGCUGACUUUGUGAUGAAGCUGUCACGAUCACUUCCUCUUUGUAGUCAUUACCUCUACAGCAGCAGCUCUCUUCCACCUUUUUCUCUGGUAGCAUCAAUGUCAUGGCCUCAAAGUAGUCCAUUCCAUCAGGUAGAACCACCUGAUUAUCAUCACAGCCCACCUUGUGUUCUAGACUGCCUAAAACUGAAGACGCUAAACCAGCAAACCACUUUAGGGAAUUAAAUAAAGUUUUAGUUGGUUUACCGGUGGUCCUCUCAGAACAAGUAUGACACACGGAUGAUGAAAUGGAAACCAAACAUUCUGCUGCAGUCCUGAACAUUUCCUCUUCCAGAUGCACUUCAUGUCCUGACAAUUGAACAGGUGUGCCAAUUUGUUUUUCAGUAGAGCCCAUUGGCUGUGAACACUCUUUGGUUUCCAGAUCGUCAUGUCCUGACAAUGGCAAAGGUGUCCAAAUAUGAGUUUCAUCAGAGUCCAUAGGCUGAGAACAAUCUUUGCACUCCAGAUCAUCUAGUCCUGAUGGUAAAUGUGUCUCAAAUUGAUUUUCAUCAGAAUCCAUAGUCUGAGAACAAUCUUUGUUUUCCAUGUUUGACAACGGAAAAGGUGUCUCAAUUUGAUUUUCAUCAAAUUCUAUGGGCUGAGAACACUCUUUGUUCUGCAGACCUCCCUGCCCUGACAAUGCAAUAGGUCUGUCAAUAUGUUCAUCAGAUUCUGUUGGCCCAUAACACACCAUACGUUCUAGAUCUUCAGGUACUGACAGUGGACAUGGUGCGUCAACUUGUUCAUCAGAUUCUGUUGGCUGAGCACACACCUUGUAUUGAAAAUCUUCCUGUACUGACAAUGGAAUAGGUAUCUCAACAUGAUCUUCAUCAGGUUCUCCUGUAGGUGGAGAAGACUCCUUGUUUUCUGGAGCUUCCAGUCCUGACAUUAGAUCAGGUGUGUCAACUUGAUUUCCAUCAGAUGAGACGCCUCUUGGUGGAGAACACUCCUUGUUCUCUGGACUAGCAGGUGCCUCCAAAAGGCUCUCUGUCGAAGGAGAUGAUAUUGCUGAAAACUCAUCUUCAUUUAUGGAUGCGUUCAGGUCAAUCUGAACUCCAAACUCAACAUCAUUUAUGGAUGAGUUCAGGUCAAUUUGAACUCCAGGACCAUCUUUCUUGAAUUUACUCUUUUCUACAUGUUCAUCAGCAGUUAAUUCUGCUUCUUUGACCCAUACCGAAUCAUGAGGCACAUUUAAAUCAAGUAGCACAGCUCUUUUAGAACCUUCAUGCUUUUCUGUUCCAAGUGUUUGGAAACUCUGGGAAACUGCCACAUCCAAAGAACAGCUAGAAGGCAUGAAAUUCAAGUCUAUGUCCUUUUGAGCAUUGACAUUUGCAGAAUCCUGCAUGUAUCUGGUCAUUCCAUGAAGUUCAGGCACUAAACCAUCUUUAACUCUUAUCAGAUUAUCACAACCAAUGGUUGGUGGCUGAUCCCCUGAGUUGUUGGAUUCUAAAUAAAAGCCAUUGAUAAAGCUACUGUCAGCGACCGUACCAUCAUGUGUUGUACUAGACCUCAGAUGCUUCUUUAACUGUAACCUUUCUUCCUCAAGCCCAGGCCUUAGUGUUGAUGAUUUACAGUUGUUACUGAGUGGUAUAGAGGUGUCGACAAUUGGGGUGUGUGCCAAGUCAUGUAUAGGUUUUCUUAAACCUGCAAAGCAUGAGGACCCAGAAUUUUCCAUGUAGUCACGAGGAAUAUGCUGAGAUGAUGUGCACAUCAAAUCUCCACUUUGUCCAGAUUGAUGACCACCUUUAGAACCAGAAUUUCUUCUGAGGUUCUGAACACCAAUCGUUGCUCCUUGACUCGAUGAUUUUUGGCAAUUGUGAAGCAGGGAUGACGGUUCAUGUUGCUUGAGCUUCUUAUGUAAUGAGUUAGAUGACGAGGACAAGUAAUCUGCAUAUAAGAAAGUAUUGAAGCUGCUUUGAAUUUUCCCUGAAAGGAUAAGUGCUUACCAUAUAAGAAAACUACGAGUUAUCAAAGCUAUGCAGACAGAUUUUAAGUGACUGACUUUCAAACUGACUCUGAAGCAUAUAUGAUAAACAACACUCUAAAAUUAAAAUGGGGAAACUUGAAAUGCUCACCAGCACUGUGAUUACAAGACAACAACAGCUCCUGUUUGCUUUUUGUGCCUUGCAGUAGAAUACUUGAGUAAGCCUCGAUGUCAGUGGGCCCCACAAAACGAUUGGAUGUAAAAUCUCUUUCUUCCUCUAGCUCAUACCGAUGAUUUAAGUCAACCAGACCUUUUUCUAAUGAUGCAGCACUUGAGGCAUAGUUGGGAACAGAGUUGAAUCCAUUAGUUGCAUAACCAUUGCACACAACCUCGGGAAUUUUCUUAGUAGGAUAACUUGAUACCUCAGCUGCUUCAGAAACCUUUCCAUCUUCUAACAGUUCCUCUUCUUCACUAUCAAUGUAUAUUGUAUCAGGUGGAAGUUGAAGGUCCCAGUUCUUCCGAGAUUUCUUGCAUUUAGAUUUCAAAAAUCUACGGUCUCCUGAAUGGUCUUCAGAUUGAACAGGAUAUGAGCAUGCCUGUAUGUUCCUCUUUUGAACAAAACAUGAAGGUAACUGGACAUUUUCAGCACCUGAAAUAGAUAAUUGACUGCAUGCGGGGAUGUUGAACGUCUUUUGAGUACAGACAAGCGAGGUUUGAGACAAAGAAGAAGUCUGCCUUGAAGCCUCAGUGCCCAGAUUAUGUUUAUCUAAUUCAUUCCUUGUCAUGCCCAUUAAUUCUCUCUGUCUUCCAUAUAGGCGGUGGAGGUCCAGAAUCUGGGUGUCACAAGACAUUUCAGGUAAGGUGUUAUUUGUUCAUGCCAUUAAUUGGUUGUGAAAAAUAUAUAAAAAUAAAUUAAAAAGCUAGAAGAACUGAAACUAAACCUGAAACAAAAAACAGAACACUCAAGUGUAAGUUCAUGUGAUGCUUUCAAGAACAAAAUUAUAUAUAGAUUAUGACUCAAUAUCUUCCGAUAACUCCAGUUAAUAUCUCAAUGAAACUAAACAUGCAGUAAAUUCUUUACAUGAAGAGUCGCAAUAGUAUACCUGAUUUUUAAAUAUCAUUUCUUGAUUGAGCAUUGUCUGCUUGAACUCCUCCUUGUAAUACCCAACAAGCUGGUCAGUAGUUAAAUUAUGAUUCCUCUCACUGCCAUUAGCACUUGAGUUAUGAUUCAUUUUGGGGAUAUAUACUGGGGGAAAGCUGUUACAUGGAACAUGAGCUUCCAUUUCUAGCAAGUCUGCGUGUAUUAAAGCACAAGUUUACUGAAUAACUCAACAACGUAUAAUCUCAGUUCUACAAAAAAGAAACCUUGCAACUAUCAACAAAAGUUAGAACUUUUUCGUAUUGUAUGGCAUUAUAAAGAGACUAAUUCACUAUGAUUCUUCCCAAGACUUUUUCACUGGGAGUUCUGGAAUUUCAAGGGUACGAGGCCUCAAUAACAGAUAAUGUGGAUGUCAGGAUUACUUACCCUGUUUAGAUCAAUUGAUAGAAAAUGGUUUUACUAGCUUAAACACAAAAAUCAUAGUCCAUCACUGAAGCACAUUUCAGAAAUUUUUCCAAGCAAAAAGGAAAACUGAUAUGUUUUUAAAUUCAGGCGGCCAACAGAAACAUCUCCUAAGAUAAUGCUGGUGAGCCAGAGGGAAUCCACAUCCUAGCAGCAGUCUCAAUGCUGGACAAGAUGCCGAUACUGAAUGGCGAAAGCUCAACCAACUCAUAUCGAUGUGUUAUAAAGGUUCCCACAUAUCUAGCAGAAAAAGUUUAAGAGUAAACCGAAAGGCAAUAAACAUACUCCAGUACUACUGGAAACAAAUCCAAAAGGCCGAAAAGCAUCAAGCAAAGUCGAUACCAGGCUAGAGUAAUCUACCAAAUGUUCACUAAUUAAUAAUUAGCAGCAGAAAAUUACAACUCCUCAAGAUCAAACAAAGCAUGAUUUUGGCAAGAUGGUCUUCGUUUUGAUCAUUAAUACACCCCCAUGAAGAAUCCAUUGGACUUUGCCCUCAAAAAGUGUAAACAACAAAUCAUAAAUUACAAGAGAAUCCAGACUCAGAACACCAAACGAAAACCAAAAAAAAAAAAAAAAAAAAAAAAAAAAAAAAAAAACCCAAAAAGUAUUCAUCAAACCAAAUACCCAAACAAGUGAGAACACUGAAGAAAAACAUAUAUCUCAUCUACAAAGAAAGCUUCACAGACCCAACAAUGAAACCAUCAAACACUGAAAAACGCACAUUCAUAAAUGUCCAUUAACAAACCAGAUAGAGAAGAUAAAACCGAGAGCAGAUAAAGAAAAAAAAUAGUGUAUCACACUUUUUCUCUUUUACAAAACCAAUCAAAGACGUAAGCUUUAAUCGCUGAAAAACGAAUCAAAACCCGUACCUGAAUUCCGAUGCAUGACUCCUCCUCAAAAACCCACAAAGCUUGAUCAUUCACUCAUUCCCAGUAUUCCAUUCAUGCUGGCUUGUUCUGCAACCCAAAACAAAGAACAACCCAGAAAACCAAAACCCAUGAACAUCAGAAGAAUCAGAACAGAACAGUAAACCAACACAGCUCAAAGCAUCAAAAGCCAGCAUUUUGGGAAAUAAAAUAUAAUAAACAUGGAAGCUUUGGGAUCCCAAUGGGCCAUUUUUUGACGAAGGAAGAUUUAGAGAGAGAAAAAGAAAGAAUUAGUACCCAGAAAAACUAAAUACACAUGAGAAAGAGAGACAUGAGAGAGAGAGCUGUCCUCACCCAUCGUGUUUGUUUUUGGAUUUUUGAGCAAGUGGGGAUUGUCUUAUGAGGGCUCUCUAGAUUCUCUCAGCCAUUUCUGAAAAUAAAUAUUUGGUCAUUUUUCGAUAUUAUUGGGAAAAUCAGACAGUACCUGUAGGAGAGAGUAUGCAAACCGGAUUUUACUGACAGUAGUACCAGCAGUACUGGUGUAGCUCCAUAUAUAUAAAGAAAAAUCAAAAUUGCUGUCAUCUCCACCUAAAGAAUCUCUCUUUCAGCUGAUCAAUGGAGAAAAACAAAAACACAAACCCAAGAAUUAAAUUAAAAUUGUUUUGUUGCACGAGCGUUUACCUCGGAAAUGUAAUCUGUGACAAGAUGUGAUUAAUUUUAGGAGUAAAUGCUUCUGACAUCCUGUAGUUUAUACCUAAAAUCAGUUUUGUCCCUCAGUUUUUUUUUAAACUGGUAUACCUUUAUACUUUGAAUUCUCGACUGAUUUGCUUUUGUCGUCAAUUGACCGUUAAAGAAGACUGUUAAGUUGCUGAGAUGACCGGUCCUGCAAUUCCAACUCAGCUAGAAACCUGCAACAUCGACAUCAGCUUUGUGAGACGAGCUCGAUGCUCUCCAGCUUUGCAGGUCCUUCGGCAAGCCUCACCGGCGGCGCCGACGAAGAGGCCUUCGUUGUCGUGGCCGCAGCCGAGGGCGACUUUAGAGCGGCGGAAGGUGAGGGUUUUGGUGGAGAAGUCGCCGAAGGUGAAGGAGUCAUCGCCGUAGGAGACUUGGUAGAGGCAGAUUUUAGACUUUGAGCUGCAGCCGGGGGAGUCGAGGUGGCGGCAGAGAGGGGAGGAGCAAGGGAGGGAGGAGAAGGAGGAGGAUUUUCUCGGGUCGAAAACCGGGUCGGUUUGGGAGUAUCAGCGUUUACAAGGAGCGCAUUGGAGCCAGAUGACGUCGGAGCCGGUGUCGAGGACCAUGUAGAGGUAUUUGGGGGGAGAGCCGACGCCGAUGCGGGUGAAAUACUCGCCGCUGUCUUGGGAGAGGCCGGAGACGAUGGAGGAGCUGAACCGGGAGGAGGGUGGGCCGGGUCGGGUGCGGUUGUAGGCGAGGGAGGUGAGGGAGUUGAAGCAGAGGGAGUCGCGGCGGAGGCGGAGGUGGAAGAGUUGGGAGGGGGUUUGGUUGGAGGAGAGGGCGUUAAGGUGGUGGAGGAGGGAGGGGAGAGGGAAGAUAGGUCGGAGUCGGGUUCGGAUGUUUCUGAAAAGGAUUCGAGUUGGGAGAGAGAGGGGGCGGAGGGGGAGGGGGGAGAGGGAGGAGGGGUGUGGUGGUCAAGGGCAGCGGAGGNNNNNNNNNNNNNNNNNNNNAAGUGGGGAGAUGAGGGAGAAGAAGUGAGAGAGAGAGUGUCAACAUGUUAGCCACGUCAGCUACAUAACGGGUUCAAUUGACGACAAGGGCAAAUCAGUCGAGAAUUCAAAGUAUAGGGGUAUACCAGUUUAAAAAAAAAAAGUGAGGGACAAAACUGAUUUUAGGUGUAAACUACAGGGUGUCACAAGUAUUUACUCCUUAAUUUUGUAAGUAUACAAGAAACGGUUAUAUGCGUUACUUAGUCAACAUGUACAUCAUUAAAACGUGAGUUGUUUUUAAGAAGACAAAAAUGAUUAGCUUUCCACGUCUUCAUUCAGUGAACCAAACGAGACUUGAAUGAUAAUAAAAUAAAUAUAAAUUAACUGUUCUCGGGUAAAAAAUUUAUGUUAAAAGUAACCGUUGUAAUGUAUUUGUUUAUCAAAUUGAAAAUUUGAAUAAACUCGAAUGGAUGGACAAGAACAACCAGUCAUUUUCCUUAUAGGAAAACAAUAGUUCUUAACUUCAUCUCAAGACACGUGAGUCAUGACAAGUCAAGCUUGGUAAGUUGAAGUUAUCUCUCAUUUGGUUAUUUCUACAAAUAAAUUCAAAAAUGUAGAACUAAUCAUUCAUUAAUAUGUUCCCAAAAACAUGACACGUUUAAACAACAUUCUAAUCAACCCCUUGAUCAUGGUUGCUAGAACCUCAUAAGUUCAUAACUAAUAAAGACUCAAUCCUCACAACUAACACGACACAAGAAGAUUAUAACUUUAUUAACUUGUUAAUCUAAUGAAUUAGUUACAAUGUUUGCAUCACAUCUAUCUUGUCACUAAACAAAAUAUCAAGAAAAGAAAUAAAAACAAAGAAAAAGGACUAAUUGCUAUAAUUGAGGAGAAAAACAAUGGGAAAAAUACAAGAAAGAAAGACUUCCCUCAAAAGCUUCUAUAUGGAAAAGGACAUUGUAAAGCUUAUUGGAAACUUUUGUUUAUAUGAAAGUCAAGAAAUGUAGAAUAAGGUUUCAACUUGGAGCUUAAGAAACCCUAAUUAAUGAUCAAUUAUCUUUUUAUUUUCCUUUUUAAGAGAUAAGGAUAAUCCUUGUGAUAGAGUUAGUUAUGCAUAGAUAAUGUUUGGCCUUUUACAAUGAAAAAAGAGGCAAAAAGAUGGUCUCAAUAUGUAAAUGUAAAUAUGAAUAAAGAAUGAGUUAGUGUUGUGUGAAUAUAUAAAAGCCCAAGGGCCUUAUUUGCAAAUAUAGUAAAAUGGAGGGUUGGAAAAACGAAUCCUCGGUAGAAGGUUUGCGUUUUAUGGGGAGAAAAUAUGCGGCGGGCCCCACUCGUCCAAUCCCCGAUGUCGAUUUGCAUAGCAAGUCUUGGACUUUCCAAUUUUUUAUUCUUAUUUGGGUUGCAAUUACUGAUGUGUCAUUAAUAAUGGAGGAUGACGAUAUUACCCCCUUGACGUCACUCUCUCGUGCGUCUCGCUUUCACGGGCCACAUUUUCUUUACCUCUUUUGGGCUUUUUUUAAAUAAUCUAGCUAGUUAUUAUGGUAACUUUGAGUAAACCCUAUUACUUUCUCCUAAAAAUGUCAUGUGAAAUUGGGUGAAUGUGGCUAUCUUUCUCUUGUUUUGAAUGAUAUAGGAUCUAAUAUAGUGAAACAUGAUAAAAGAUAAAGUGUAGAGACAAAGAGAUAGCAAGAGAGUCAUCAUUUUAUUUAUUGAUAGGAGCCCUUUAUAUAGGGAAUUACACAAUACCAAUAUGGUAAGGAUAUGAAUACAUAGAUCUAGUCUAACAACAUAUCAUAUUGGCAUAAGGCCAAGGCACACAUAGAGAACAUCCUAGAACACUUCCCCUUGUGCCGCGCGCUGAUAUGCCGAUGGUGCUGAUCUGUUGCCUCGUCAAAAACCUCGUCAAGUCACAAAAACCCUGUGGGAGAAAAACUGAACCUUGAUCGUAGGAGAAAAAGAGUACAACGCACCCUUCACAUUUAAUAGUGACAUGUAUGUAUGUGCUAGACUCUCCCUGAAGUUCACACCCCCCCUGAUCUUUACAUCAAUCAUAGGGCUCUUCCUGAUUCUUACUAAUCACGGAAGUUUUAACAACUUAGCAUGUCAAUGCUUUUUAACAUGUCUUCAAAUGUGGCAUUGGGCAAUGAUUAACUAAAUCAUACCGUAUUGUCCUCAAAUGAUCUUUUACACUUAGAUCUUGAGGAGAAGGUUGCUUGUGAACUCAAAACAUAAGUUCGUGCAGGAAAUCAGAUUUCCGCCAAGCAUGACCUUCAAUUACUAGAACAGUCGUAACUUCCUCUAGGAAAUACAUAUGAACGAACCGUAAAUGUUUUUGGAAACUAGACUCAUUUAGCUUUCCAACCGUAUAUUACACACAUUCUGGUUCAUCAGGAGCUGUUCACAAAGUCCCAUCGAAGUUGACUGUUUUGCCAAAAUCAGAUUCUCGGACAGAUUCGAUUCGUCCUACUUUACGAAAACGGCCAUAACUCACUCAAUAUGAUAGGUAUGAUCAAAUGGUUGGUGUCUCUGGAAAGUAGACACAUAGACCUUUCCAAUGGUACCAAUUUCACCAUUUUCCAGUGAGUGAGAUUUCCUAUAGGUCCCGUGGAAGUUGACCUACAAAACUUGGCAGAUUCUGAUUUCGCUUUUGAUGUGUCUUUCUUAUGUUGGGAUAGAAUAAGCCUCAACCUUUCAUACCAUUAAGUAUUAAAAAAGGAGUUACUGCCAUUACAUUGGCGUUGCGUGGGCGCAUAGCUACACUUAGCUUUACAACUUUUCAUAGCGAAUGAGAUGUCAAAUCUUUCGUAUUGUGUUGAGUACAUUGAUGCGUCUUAUUGUACUUAGAUGGGAACUCUAUCUCUUAACACAUAUUUGUCAUCUUGCUUUAGACAAAACAACGGAUCUCUCUUUAGAGCAAAGAACUGGACUAAUCAUGGGAGUAUAUGUAGGCCUCACUAGUUAUAGAGCGCCUAAGCCGAUUGAUGGAAAAUCAUCAUCAAUACAGUCAUCGAGUGCCUUAUCGAGACCAUGUCUUCCCAAGAUCUUUUUCUCCGGAUGUUGAUACACAUUGGCAUCUCUUGAUCCAUCAAGAGUCCAUGUAAAUCCGAAAUGAACACGCAAAGGCAUAAUUCACCAUAUCCCUUCCAAAUCAAGUAGAAUCCAUGUGCGUUUCAAUACAUUUAGCAAACGCAUGCUCCUGUGGUUUGGAGCCACUUGAUUCGGAUGAAUGAAGUCAGUUUAAGAUCUUCAUGUAUAUCUCUGAUCCCAUAGAGAUGUUAUUAUGACCACAUUCAUAGGCUGCAUGUUCAGUUAUUUGGAAACUACCAAACUGACAAAGUAGUGGAGUUCAAUGACAUCCAUUACGAGAGCAUAUCUCAUCGUAGUUGAUCCCAGUGCGUGUUAGUGAAAGACUUUGCGCCAUAAGGUGAGUCUAAGCUCUUACUCUCACUACGCUAUCUAACAAAGGCAUAGUUGAUAGGGUUUAGCUUGCGGUGUCGGCAUUACCUGCCCAAGGACCUAUCUCUUUGUUAAUGCUGGAUCGUAUCUUUCCAUUAGGCCAAUCAACUAAGUUGAUAUCCAUCAACGAAGGGUGGUUCGAUAGUAGACUCAUUAUCUCACGUCCUCAUGUACACUAGUGUAAUACUUGUAGAGAUCUCUAUAUGGAUUGGAUUUGACAUUGAGGCGUCCCCUAACGAUAAUCACAAUUCAGACUUCAUGAGACGGAUUUGAGUAUCACUGAUCAAUGGAUCAGGUUGUGCCAAGCUCGCUUUCUUUCUAGUGCAAGACAAUAUCGAACCUAAGGGCCUCCCUCCUUUUAGGGAGCCACACGGCCUUGUGACACCAAUUUUGCCACUAUAUGGCAUCACCAUAUCACCAUCCAUGGUGAUGGCGUCAAGACCAACACUUUUUGGUCGCGCCAUGUCCUUUUGUAGGACAUCAAUCCUUACAGACAUAUUUGCAGCAUGUGAUCUCGUCACUUUAACACUAUAAGCAUUUGGGAUCAAGAUGAGACUUAGUGGGGACAAACCACGACAAUUCACGUCGUUCCAACUUGAACACUUGUGUUCUUAUCGCCCCCUAACGGCGGGAAUAUUGUCUCAUCAAAGUGACAAUCCGCAAUUUAGCGGUGAAUGAGAUCGCCUGACAAGGUUCCUACAUAUGCGGAUUAUAGGUGGAGGUUCAUAUCCAACCUAAACUUAUUCAUCUCAAAUGACCCAUCAUUGUACGCAGUGGCAAUGCGAUUUGGCACCUAGAAAUAACAUCUAGCCGAGCUCAAGGAUUGGAGAUCCGUUUCAAUCCUACCGAGCUCAAGGAUUGCAAUUUCGUGUCAAUCCUGGUACACAGUCACGAGUUGUAGUACAACAAAAUUCAAUGAUGGUGGGUCGUAGAUGAAUAGUAAAGCUGCAUGCAAAUAUUGCAUAGCCCCAAGAUGCAAUAGAAAGAGUGGUGCGCAUCAAUAAUGUUCGAGCGACAAGCUAAAGUUGCUUGGUCGUAGCCUCGGUGAGACCGUAUUGCGUGUGAACAUGGGGUACAUGACACUUCAACUUACAUCCCGAUGAACUUCUUUAAAGAAUAGGUAGUGAGCCCGUAGAAGUAAAAGCAGUAGAAGCAGUAGAUAAUAGUGUAACACGUGACCAGUGUGUUAACACGUCAACCAACACCAUAAAGUAUAAAAAGGUGUCCGCAAGUUGGUUGUAUCUAUCUACAUAGUUUGAUGUAAGAAUAGAAUGUUCACUUUUGUGUUAUUUAGCGUAGGAGGGUCUCACUCCUUAUUUAGCGUAAGAGGGUCUCACUCCUUAUUUAGCUAAAGAAUAGGCUUUCAAAACGAGCAAUGAGCAUUGCAGGGGGCCAAUGCGACAUCGAGGAAAGGCCGGUGCACCUCAAUUGCUUGAGGAAUUGACCGGACGACCUCCAGGAAGUUGGAGUCGUGUUCGGGUGACGUCAAUGUCCCCCGGGUCACCACCAUGCUUCAUGGUGAUGCUAGAUCUCGAAUGUCUUCGUUUUGAGCGGAAGAAUGGAUGUCCAUGAGAAUUUCUCAAAAAUUUGGACCAUUAUAUCUCUUCCAGGUUGACCAAAUUUGGUCAAACCAAAGCCUAUAUGAGUCGGUGUCCCAAAUAUCAUGUUUGGCGACAACAUGGGAUUCGAUAUUCGAAUCGUAGUGACAUACAGUUCACUAGAUUGACUCAUGAAUUUCUCCAAGAUGCGCUUCAGUUCGCAUUCAUGAGGAUGUAUACACAAAAGAAUUCUUGUUCAUUCUCACAAUGUGUUUUCAAAUGAAAACCAUUAGCAUGAAUGUCUUUAAAGCUCAACAUGGUUCCUUAGAAUGUUGUGGAUAGUUCCACUAUCUGCGAAGCACUCAAUGUCUCUAUGAGACAUAACUACAAGGAGUAGAUAGGCGAGUAAAUAGUUCUACUUGAACCAUUUAGAAGGAUUGAAAGAAGCAACGAAAAGCUGCAAUCCCGAGAGUGCAUAAAAAUUUUCGCGCAGAAUGACCUUUGCGCACUAAAACAGCCAUAACUUCUUCGUUAAAAUAGAUAUGGACGAACCGUGAAAAGUUCUGAAAACUAAACUCAUAGAGCUUUCCAAUGAUAUAAAGCUCACUGUCUGGUUCGUCCGGAGCUGUUCACAAAGCUCAAACGAAGUUGACUGUCCAGAACGGACAGAUUGCUGUUUUUCGCAGAUUUGGCAUGUGCGAAGCUGUGAAGCUUGCAGGUGGCGUGUAGGCUUUUGCCUUAGCCAAAAGUGACGUGUGUAUGAUCAAAACCAAGUCCUUUCGAUCGUUCUAAGGUCGUAAACUCCAUGACUAGUUAGCAAAAGCUCCCUGACAUGAACAUAAACUAACUCAGAGGACCUAGAGGAUCCGAUUAUGAUGAUAAUUUUCCAGCUUUGAUAAGUCUUCAACGUCUUUUGCAAGACGGCAAUUGGUUUAAUAGCGUAGGGGGAUCCAAAAUCAAAAGCUUUCUGUAACUCCAAGUCAGUAUGACCAGGCAUGUCCGUGGAGGGUCGGUAGUGCGAGGCACACUUAAAACCACUAUCUCCUUAAUUUCGGACAAUUCUAAGACAUCACAUUGAACUUGGAUGAGCCUAGUUGAACAAUUGAUGAUGAAAAAUCCGCUAUAGGGUAGAAGACUUAACCGAAAACACGUGGGCGAUCCUCCUUGAGGAUGCAGUGCCAUGAGUCACCUUCAAAGGGAGGGACCAAAAUCGGCACAAUAUGCCAUGUUUCUAAGGACGAUGUAAGUGUACAUCUUGAUUGUAAAUCAAUAUGAACCAUAAGAGGAGAAUAGUUUCACUUCAAAAAAUUCUCAAGGCAUUCAUUAUUGCUAAUGUGAGUACAUCAAGGUCUCAAAUAGACAAAGGACGUCGAUACAACGCCUUAGUACAUAUAACUUGGAACGAAAAUCAAUGUCUAGCCAAUGAAAUCAAAGUACAUGGUAGCUAGAGCAGGAUCCGAAUCUUUGAAAUUCGCGAUCAUGAGGAUGACGUUCUUGUNNNNNNNNNNNNNNNNNNNNCUUUGAAAUUCGCGAUCAUGAGGAUGACGUUCUUGUCCUACAUAUUGAUUUUCCAUACCUUUUUGUAUGCAUUCACAAUUUAAAGGAGCUUGACAAUCUUGAACCAGUGAUCCGAAGAUCCACAACGGUUGCAUUAAUGUCAUGAGCUGACGUGAGUAGUUUUGACAAAAUGGUGUCUAGACUGGGAGUGUCGCUAUUAGAGCCGGCAACACCUCCCCCUCUUUUCUAGACAUCGGCACGACGUUUUCUACCGUUGUCAUGACCCAUAUUGUUGUCCCCACAUUAGGGGAUAAUCCCAAAUAAGUUUAUCACAUUAACGUAUAUACAAUUCUUGUUUGUAUGAUCAAAAUCAAGUCUCGUUGGUAAUUCCACACCAACUUGGAGGACCUAGAGAACUUGAUGAUGAUCGAAUCCGCUAAAGAUUAUGGAUCAUGAUGCCACAAAAGAUCAUCGACAAUAUGUAGUCAAUUAAGGUGGUAAGCAAUCCACUUGACUAAUAACUCAACAAGGAGAGUUAUAUGAACGUUUCGAGAAACGCUCCAUGAGUGCAUUCCACAGUACUUUAUGGUCAUUACUUUUUGCACAGAUUGCCAUUGAAGGCUUUUGUUGAUGUGGCGCGUCAAAGACUUUGAGCGCAUGAGAUGUGAAAUCUCGGCAUCUAGGCUUGUUAGCCUGGAGGUCAAAACAUAUGGUUUAAUCCUUUCCAAUGAAAGGUUCCACAGAUACCAAGCGAAGAUCCGCCUUAGGCAUCUAGUACGUCAAAACUCAAAGGAGCAGAAUGUUACAUUGCUCUUGCAUACAAAACCAAGCUGUUAUGAGACUCGAUAGAGGUCACAAACGAUGCUUUUAAUGGUUUGUCCUUCGGAUUGAUCAUACAUAAUCCGGAAAAGCCGCGAAUUGAUCAAACACAAUUCGGAAAAAGGCCUUGGAUUGAUCAAACACAAUCCGGUGAAAGGUCGGAGCUGAUCAAACACAACCCGGACAAAGAAACAAGAGUGAUCAAACACACUCUUGACCCGCGAAUAAAAUUCCAGGAUUUGGGUACCUGCACGCACAAAAUCCCAAGCAUAGAAUGGAGAUGGAGAAGGGAGGAAAGGAUUUUAUCCUCCCCGAGUUAUUGAACUUGGAAAAGUUUAAGGUUUCAAAAACAUACCUUUCUAGAGGCUGCCGAGAGGAGAAAUAACGUUUCGCCUACUUAUACUUCGAAUUUGGGGCUGAAAAUUUGAUAGCAGCUCUGGAUGGGGAAGCUGCUGUCAAAAUUUCAGGUUGAUCGGAGCAAGGGAAGGUGGUGAACCGGUGGUCGGUAGCGACGGCGGUCUGGAAUCUUUGGGCGGCCGGUUCGGAGACUUUCCGGCCGGUUCUCAGGGUGAGACCGGCGGCGUUGGAUCCGGGGCGGAGAGAGUUUUCUGGGGAUAUAAAAUUCCGGCGGAGGGCAGUCGGAAUUUUGGUCGAAAAUCGGGAAAAACAAAGCUGCCCGAUUUUAGGGUUUUGAUUUUUAGGGUUUAGAAAAAAAAUGGUGGGCUAUUGGCUCUAGGGUUAGAACAAAGUGCAUGAUAACGUGAUAAAGGAUAAAGUGUAAAGACAAAGAGAUAGCAAGAGAGUCAUCAUCUUAUUCAUUGAUAGGAGCCCUUUAUAUAGGAAAUUACACAAUACCAAUAUGGUAAGGAUAUGAAUACAUAGAUCUAGUCUAACUACAUAUCCUAUUGGCAUAAAGCCAAGACACACAUAGAGAAUAUCGUAGAACAAAACAUGCUUUUUCGACAUGAAGUUCUCACACGAGAAAAGAAAUAUGUCACAAGAAUACAUUGUGGGAACGAUAUUUACCAAGGAUUGAGUUAUUAGUGACAUAAGACUUAUAUAUCAAUGAAAAAUAUUCCUUUUGAUGAAUGAUUAGCCGGGUGAUGUGGAUUGUGAUAUUGAUAGAAUGGAAUGUUAGAUUAUAGGUCAUAGUGAUUAUAAUUACGACAAACUAGUAGGUUGUUGAAAUGAUGGUCAAUAAAUCAUAAAUCAUGUGAUUGUGAUGCUUGUGACAUAGUCAUGAACUCAUGCUUGGUAGAGGAAGCCAGUGUUGUUGAUCUGUUUGGAAAUGGCCCAAUACUUCUCAUUCAAAAAUCAAAUGCUGCUGCAGACAUUAUAUAUUGGGCUUUGCAUGCAUUUGAGAUUAUGAACUUGUGGGCGGAUGCUUGAUGGCCCAAGGACCCAAAUCAAGUUCAAAACUCAUUGUAGUAAUUUCAUUAUUGAUGAAGGUUUUCUCUUUGAUACCAAACCAAUAACAAUGACCAUCUAACCACCACUGCCAAUAUAUGGACAAAUUCUCUUGAAGUGUGGAAAACGUGGUAGACAACUAGACAUGCCUUGUGGCCAAUAGACUCCCAGGAAAAGCCAUGGGUCACAUUAAGCUACCUUAAUAACCACUAUGGAUGGUCGGACUGUUAGCCCUACAUGGAAAAUGACCAAUUGAUAUUUGAUAAUAUGGCAUGUGCAUCAAGUCCCUACCUUGUUUCAUUCUUCAUUCUAAGCUUCAAAGCAAUGACAGGAUUGACAGCUAGUCUCUACUUACCAGAUAACUCUGAUACAUACUCCACCUUGUUCUCAUUUCUCAAACAAGAAGCAAAUUUCAUAGAUCUUGUAAACAAAAUAAGACUCGACUCAAAACACACUUGGAAAAUGAAGUGUAAUCAACCAAUACAUAAAUAGAUAUAGAGAAAGGUGGUUCUUCAAUGCUAGCUAGUUGGUUGAAGCUGCAGCUGGUGUUUGGUUGGAAACUGGAUACUUCCUAGCAUUCUUGACAAUCUUACUGAGUGCUGCUUGUCCAAGAUCAAUGCCGCAAACAUCGGCAAGCUGGAUCAGAUAGAGCAGCACAUCAGAGAGCUCCUCUCCUAAAUGUUCUUUGUCAUCAGAACUCCAGUUUGGUAGUCCUCUUGCAACUUCACCCUUCCACUGGAAGAUCUCAGACAGCUCCCCAACCUCUCCAACCUGCAGGAUAAUAUAUAAUUUAUAUAAGUAUAUAUAUAUAUAUAUAAACAAAAACAAGAGGCUUGAAUUGAGUUAUCUAAUAUAGUUUGAUAAUUACUUACUAGUGCUAGAAGAAGAUUUCUAGGACUGUGGUAUUGUUCCCAAUCUCUAACUCGAGAAAACUCAGCAAGCCUGUCUCUCAGUUCCUGAAGUGAAACAUCUUUGUUUUCAUUUCUUGAAAACUCAUAGGAGCUCCCCAUUUUCUCUAAAUUCUACUCCUAGCUAGCUCUCUUUCAGUCUUUCCUACACUUUGCCUCAUGCACAAGCAGCACAACCAAAUAUAUAAAGACAGAAUAUAUUUGGAAUUUUUAAUUGAAACUAAAAUGCUAUAGUGGAGGGGUACUUGAUGGAAAACUUAAAACAGUAAUGAUUUCAGGUAUGACAAAGAUGUCCAUUCCUAUCAUUCAUGACUUGAAAUCAUUAAAAAACAAAAAAAAAAUUACUAGGAAUGUGUCAUCAGUAGGUGCAAAACUUCAAGUAGGCAUUUUAGGCUUUAGCUCAUUUAUAGUCUCAUCUAUACCUCCACAGUCCACAGAAUAUAGUCUCAAAUCCUUUGGAAUCCAGCUUUGUUCCUCCAGAAUUUUGGAUCUAUACUCCCACCAUAGAACUGACGGUGAAUUUUGCUUGCAAUCACGGAUUUCAAGAAUCGUAAAAGAUUUUGUUUCUCUAUAUGAACAUCAUUGGCUUUAUGUUUGCUUCUGUAAACCCGGAAAUUGCGAUUCUAGUGUGGAUAAACAUGAAAACAAAGCAUUCAUGUCCCUAAUCGUAUGAUUUUGAAGCCAGCUAAGACCUACUGAAGGAAAUAGUGUUUUGCUUGCAUAUGCUUUAAGCUUGAGCUGAAUUUACUUUUACCCUGUCCUGAUCUCAACGAGUACAGAAGUGAAAGAAAGCUAUAGUUGCCACAAUAUCACAACAGUACAGUGGUGCUUCCAAGAGCAAAAUGCUGGAACACUAAACUUAGGCUUGAGCAGAUGUUAGGUGAAAACUACAUGUUUAUAUACAGUACAUGACUACAUGAAACUGUUAUUAUUCGUAUCUGAAUUGCAUGGUGAUUAUUGUUGGAUUCAUAUUCAUAUGAAAGAGUGUCGGCAUUUUCAGAACCAUUGUCUGUAGAUUCAAUACAUAACAAGUAUGAGCUCCGAGUCACCAUCAAUCUGAUUCAUCUUUCCAUCAUACUUGAAAUCAAAUGAACAGUUCAAUUCUAUUUUCAAUCAAAGUAGACUUGAAUUGAAAAAAGUAAAUAAAAAUUUCAUGUCAGCCUCAAGUUUUAGAUUUUGAAAUGAUUGAAUUCAAGAAUGUUCACUUCUGCUGUGUACUUAUAGCAUAUGGACAUGAGACUCUUUGUAUUGCUCCCCUGUACUUCCAGUAAGUAGAAAAAAGAUUGAUAUGUACUUCAAAUCGCUCUUUCUUUGAAACUUCAGAUGCUAAACUUAACAAUUUGCUUUCCAUAGUCCUGUAUGAAUCUUUGUAAUAGCGAUUGGUUGAGGCUUCCCAACUUUGGUUUAUGUUAGUUUUCUUUGUUCUGUUACGAGUUUUAGGUUUGUUGUUUGUUUUCGGUGGGAGUAGAGCUAGGUCUUUCCUACUAUGGUGUACUAUUUCUUGAAUCUUCAAAUUGGGAAAUCUCCAACUGAAUAGCUAUUCACUUGUAUCUCUCUACAAAUGUUAUCUCAUCGAGGUUGGAAAGUCAGUAAAAGACUAAUAGAUAAAUAAAAAAUCUGAGCCUUUUGUAAGGAACAAAUUUGUACUGCACUGCACAACAAAAUGAGCAAUUAAUUUUCAGAACCUGUGGCUUGGUUGGGACUUGGGAGGUCUCAAGUGUUCUUAGGUCUAAGAGUGAUCAACAGCAAUGUACAAGCUCAUUUGAAAAUUGAACUCAGAAUCUGAAAAAUCAAGAAGAGCUAAUGGGCCAAACUGAGUUGAUUCUCUGUAACAUAAUGAAUGAUAUCUAUUUGCAAGAAGAGCUACAGAAACAAAUUCUAUGCACACAAAUGUGAACUAUAAAACAUUUUUAGCAUUAUAUAUGGACAUUCCCUAAUAUUAAAAAUUAUCAAAAUGAAGGAGGAGAACCAUAACUAAAAUCCCCUUGGAGAUUGACUAUCUUUAUAAGCAUAGCUAAAACUUCCUUCAUGUUUGGUCUGGACUGUGGUGCCUCAGCUGUGCACUUUAUGCCAACCCUUAGUAACUCACACAUCUCUUCAGCCCCAUCAACUAGUCCAGACCCCAUAAGCAUAACCGGCAUCACAGAACGAUUGAAUCCUAGCCGGCCAUUUCCCAUCACCCUUCUGGCCCAUUCCACUAGACACUCCUCUCCUCCAUCCACUGCUCUCCUCCCAGUUGCCAGUUCCAUUGCUAGGACUCCAUAACUGUACACAUCGCCUUUCGUUGUGGCUUGCCAUGUCUGCCCAUAUUCUGGUGCAACAUAACCAACAGUCCCAGCCACCAUUGUGCUCACAUGACUAUCCCCUGCAUCAACAAUUCUAGCCAGCCCAAAAUCUGUUACUCUUGCCUUCCCAUCCUUAUCUAGCAGCACAUUGCUAGCCUUCACAUCACGGUGUACAAUAGCAGGGUAGCACUCGUGGUGUAGAAACAUCAAGGCUCUAGCCACAUCCACUGCUAUAUCAAUCCGCCUGCGCCAUCUUAGUCUUACUUUGUCACAUAUAAUAUCCUCCAAGCUCCCACCUUCCAUGUACUCAUAGACUAAUAUUUUCUCUGAACCAUCAUGACACCAGCCAUGAAGUUGCACAAGAUUUGGGUGAGGCCAACCAAACCCAUUUCCAGUAAGAACUUCCAUCUCAGCUCGAAAUUCCCUUUCGCCUUCAAGUCCUUCUCUUUGAAGCUUCUUCACUGCUACUUCUCUACCAUCAGGCAACACUCCUUGGUACACAGUUCCAAACCCUCCCCUCCCUAUGAUCCUCCCUUCUGAAAAGUUUCCUGUGGCCUUCAAAAUGUCAGCAUGUGUGAAAGCUGUUUUGUCCAGUCGAAUGACUUUGACAGUAUCCGAUAGCCAAGGUGAUGAAGAGUUUGAGCUUGAUGCAAAGUCAUGCCGGUAUUUACCGUGUGACAGCAGAUACCCUUGUGGCUCAUCUGCUGGCCCCUUCAUAUGUAAGCACAUUAUAAGUGAAAAGACUCCACAUAUCAAGAAUGUCAGUACUAGCCCUAAAAACACCAAAUAAGUAGCAAUCUUUGCAGGCUUUUUCAGGUUUUCAGUUGGUUUGUUUCUUGAGUGAUCUGUGGAGUCAGUGAGAAACUUCGGAAGGAUAAGUAGAGGGUCACCAAGGUAGGACUCCUUUUCAAACGUUGCCAACUGUCCACUUGAAGGAAUAACACCAGAUAUGAGUGGAUUGUAUGAGACAUUAAACUUGCUUAGCUCAUGCAAGCUGUUUAAGCUUACAGGAAAUGUACCAGAAAAGUUAUUGUAGGACAAAUCAAGAUUCUGCAUACACAUGAUGUUACCAAUUUCCAUUGGGAUUUCGCCCGAGAAACUGUUAUCGGUAAGGUUAAACACUACAAGUGGAAUUUGUCCAAUCCCUGCAGGGAGUUCUCCAGUUAAUUGAUUGAAAGCCAAAUUGAUCAUACUAAAAUUGUGCAUCUCACCAAUCUCUGGAGGGACCUGACCUGAAAGCUGGUUCCCACUCAGUUGCACAUAACCUGAGAUUUGCAAUGUCCUUACUGCAGAACCAGCUACACAUAUUGGGAAAAGGCCAUUUCCUUUAAGUAGUCGAUCCCAUAUGCUUCGACAACUUUUCCUGGUUAGGAUUGUGUACACAAAACUGAAUGGAGGGUAGUCUGCUGGAAUCCAUCUCUUCAUUGCUAAGCACUCCCCGGAUCCAGCUACGAUCUGAUCCUCGUUCUCAUUGUUUGAUUCAAAUGUUGGACCAGGAUUUGUCCCAAUAUUCAUCAACUCAUAUGGGAUUGUUCCAUUGAGCUUGUUGUUGGAAAGGUUCAGCCACAACAAGCUAGUACAAUUCCCUAACUCCCUAGGAAUUGGACCUGUUAGAGAAUUAUCAGCAAGCAUCAACCACAAAAGAGACCUUAACUUUCCUAUGGUGGCAGGAAUUGACCCAGUUAGGCUGUUGAAAGAAAGGUCCAGUGCUUGGAGCUGUGUCAAAUUUCCAUACUCUGGUGGUAUAGUUCCAUUGAAUUCAUUGUAGGCGAGGAACAAGUACUUCAAGCUUGACAUUUCAGCAAUUUCAACUGGUAAAGAACCUGUAAAGUGGUUGUGACUGAGAUCCAACCGAGAUAUAUUAGGUAGCUUGAGAAUUCCAGAUGAAUAUAUACCACCUAUGUAUGAGUUUGAGUGCAGCACAAGAAACUUCACCUGCGUAAAUCUCCCAAAAAUCUCUUGUAUAUCUCCACCAAAAUUGUUCCUGCUCAAAUCCAAGAACACCAAGUUGCUCAAAUUCAAAAGAGCUUCCGGGAUCACUCUAGAAAAACUGUUAUUUCCCAAGAACAAAGUCUCCAGACUCCAGAGACUUCCAAUCUCAGAUGGAAUCAGCCCUGUAAAUUUGUUUCCCCACAGAUUCAAUGUAACCAAAUUCCGGCAAUUUGAUAUCUCCUUUGGAACGUCACCAGAAAAAUUGUUUACUGACAGGUCUAAACUCACCAAGCUACAAGUGCCAUUGAAAAUAGAAGGCAAAAUAGCCCCACUCAGAUCAUUCUCAGACGCAGAAAACUCCCUAAGCCUUGUGAAUCCAACCCACACAUCACCACUGAAAUUGUUUGAGCUCAGAUCCAAAUACUGCAAAUUAUAGCACUCAUCAAAGUACUGGUCAAUUCUACCAGUGAAGUUAUUGGAGGACACAUUUGCCACCACCAAGUUCUUGCAAAUUCCAGGGAAGGUCAUCUUCAUAUCCCCAUAAAGCCUAUUCACAGUCAAAUCAAGAACCUCCAAUUGACUCAACCCCUGCAAUCUCAGCUCACCUUCAAGAAUGUUAUGUGACAAAUUCAAGUACUUGAGGCUCUGGCAUUGACUCAAGUCCUCCGGGAUAGCUCCACCGAGAGUGUUAUCCGAUAAGUCCAGCUCCGAAAGCUGUGUCAAAGCCGAGAAGUUUCCGAACAUCUGACCUGUGAUUUUGCUGUCAGUGAGAUAUAUUCCGGUAACUCUUCUGUCACCAUUGCAUUUAACUCUAGGCCAAUCACAGGGGCUAAUGCUGCUCUGGUUCCAUUCUGAGUAUCUGCCUUGGUUUACUUUGUUAUGUUCUUGAAGAAAAGCUUUAAGGCUCAGCAGAACUUCUAUGUCUGUGUUUAGAGAAUCUCCAGCUACAACUUCAGCUGUGAAUACCAAUCAAAACAGAGUUGCAGACUCUUAUUAGAUAAUAUCAAAAAUUAAAAUAAAAUUUAAAAAAAAAUUCAACCUCGAAAAACGUAACUAUGAGACAUCUGACAAUGUCUGACAAGUGUUUUGAUUAACACUCAAUCUUUCUCGGGAAAUGAUCAACUGGGUUGAAUUAAAAACACUAAAACAACAAAACCCAGAUAAAUAUUUCAACUUUUCAACAUGAACAAGUACCUGUGAUCAUGAUGAUGAGUGAGAAUAUGGAAGAACAACACCACACUGAGCGCCAUGAAUGAGUUUUCGAGUUGCUGUACAUGAUUUUCUGACCUCCACUAUGAUCAAGAAGCUAAACAAAAAUGAAAGAAUUAUGAUUUUGAUUGAGGGUGCGUAAAGAUUAGAAUUUACAGGUUCAUGAAAUGUGGAAGUUUGAAACUUGGAAGUUUGAAUAUGUUUGUGGAAUGUCGUUGAAGACACAUAGAGCGCCUGCAUAUACAGACUUGGAUCGACGUCCUUCUCAAUUUUGCUUCUUCUAUUUCAUUUACGCUUUAAAAAAAUAUGUAAAAAAUGCAUUAGAUUAUUGAUUUCCAGUUGAAAAAUAUUUAUACUAUUGGUCUGAAAGCUCUGGUUGGUUAAGAUAGUACUAAAGGGUUGAGCCGCAGAAGUUGACCGGUUCGGUUAAACCGGCUCGGCGAUUUGACUCGGAGACAGAAAAGGGAGUCUUUGUGACGACUAUAUAUAUUGAUAUGCUUUCACGUUGGUUUGUUUGGACUUGGAUUCUAGAAUUGAUAUGGUCUUCUCCUUCCUUCUUUUGCAUAUAAACAGAAUCAUAUUAUAUGCUCGAAUUGAAAUUUGGUGGAAAUUGCACUAAUAUUGUGUGUUGCUUUAUAUCAAUCUAUGGAAGUUUACAAGCAGAGAAUGAAGCAAAGGCGGAAAGGGAAUAACAUCUUCCAUGAGUGAAAAGGGCACUCAUGGUUUUGAUGUGUAGGUUGCAAAGUGUUUGAGAACGUACGUACAAUAAAAAGUUGUAAUUCUCUAUCUUUCCCUAAAUAGAGUGAAUAAUUGGAAUUUCUUUCUAAGCAAUUGAAAAUUUGAGUUGGACUCGUUUCCUUUCUAAUCACAUUAUUAGUUCAUAAACCAUGCAUCUAUCUAAUUGCAAGGUGGAAGGGUGAGAAAAUAUUCUUUGAAAGAGAAAAAGAAAAAAUGGAGAAAAGAUUAGAGAAAGUCGACCGGUUUAGCGUGUAUAUUUUCUCUAUGACAAUAUGUAUAUAUACCAAGUGUUUGAGUUUCGCAUAGAACUCAAUCCCAAGACAGAGUGACAUCGUUGGAAUAUUAUCGGAGCUAGACUGUUUUCCACAUAGAACUCGAGAGCGGUUAAUAAUAUUCCGCAGACUAAAAAUAUUUAUCCCAGCUUUUAGUAAGACACAAAGCUUGGAGUGCAAUGUAACUUACCUAUCAUUUGAAUUGACAUAGUAUAUGGAUGAUUUGUGUCAUGGUGGCUCACCUAAUUACAAAUUACAAUCAGAUGCUGACAAUGGUGAAAUAGAUUAGUAUGUUAAUGAACUUGCAAAAUUUGGAGUGAUUAAACUGUUCGUUUGGGUCAUUGCAAUCUGAGACACAUAAUCCACCAAUACCUGAACGUUUUCCUCAUGGUCGCAUAGCGAGAAGAAUCAGUUCAAACUCCAUUAUUGGCUAUAUACUAUAAUUAACAAAAUCUAAUUCGGCAGCUAUAUAAUUGAAAAGUUGGAGGACUAAUAAUGUGAAAAAACAAAUCUUGAAUUCUUUGGUAAGUUCUCAUUUUGGUAGCAAGGCAAUCUUGGUCUUUGUUUUUCGAUGAAUGAUCAAAAGGGAUCCGUACCACAUAUCAAACUUUGAUUUAGGUACUUCGUUCAAUUCCCAACAAACUUCUAAGAAAUGGACCCUCACUAUCAGUGAUGGGGUGCACAUCGAUCUGCUUCUUAAUCUGGCCUAGAAUUUCUGGUCUUACUCGCAGUAUGUGAUCAUGCCACGCUUUUCUACACAUCAAGCCGAGAUUUGGGAAAAUUCUAUCUCAUAUCUUUAUGUAUACAGGUGUUUUUGGCAUGGACCUUCUAGUCAAAAAUGGCUGUUUUCCAAUUACAUCAGAAGCAUUUUUAUAAAUACAAUCUUACACAUAAACUGAUCUUAAGUUUACUGUUAUCCUAAUCUAGUGCAUGUUAUACUAUUUGCGAUUAGGGUACGUGUUGACCAAAUAGUUCUAAUUCGUAAUACAAAAAGUGUUUGAUUGAAACUAAUCUCUACUAUAAUAAGGCCAACAGUAAAGAAAUUCAUUAAAUUGUACGCUGUCAUAAUUACUUUUAAUGAGACGAAACAAAUAAAAUAAAGGUUAUUAUUGUAAAUAACAAAAUAAAUAAACAAAAUAAAAUAAAACAUAAAUAUGAUCGAGGAGAACUAAACUAAAAUUAACCUUUCAAGUUUCUUUACAGGUGAUCGUGAUCCUGUGCAAUCUGUAAAAUGCUAGUAUUUAGAAAAGUAGCUAGAGGAAUCAGGUAAUAGAGCAAACUAACACUUAUAUUCUGAAAAAAAAAAGAUUGUGUGGAUUAUCGACCAUAGAUCUUUCCAAGUUUCGUGAACAGUGAGUAUACUUAAUUACCCAAUUGUUUUGUCAAAAUGUGAAUUGCAAACUGGGGGCUGUUUCUACUUUCUCUGGUUCAUUUUCUUUUUUCUGCAGAAAUCUCUUGUUUACGAGGGACAAUGUUUGUAGGCAACCAAACAUACGUACUAAAGAGUCCGGAUCGUUGUAUGAUAUGAUUAAUAUAAGAUAAGAAUAUUGCAUAUCCUUAAAAUACAAAACAAUUAAGCACAAAAGUCCUCAAUACACCAGACAGGAAACCAAUCAAGAAAAUGACUUAAAAGCUGUUCUAUUACAUCAUUGCCCGGGAAUGCCUGCAUACGUAUAGUAUUUAUGUAAUUAAUCAAAUCGUUAGAAAGAAAAUAACUGGUCAAAGAAACAUGUUUGUUUGGUUUUUCUCAUGGGGGUUUGAUCAAGAUAUGAGAGACUAGCAGGGUUAGGGUUUCACUUUCCAAAGGCAAUGCGACGAGUCGUGUGGGUCAUAGGACUCGUCGUACGUAGGUGUAUGAUACAAAGGUCGGCCGACCGUCUUGAUAUUGGACUUGGCUUCACGGCAAAGGUUAACUGGAACUCUCCAUUUUCUGAUUUGAUUUCAUCAUACAAGACUCGAUCACUGUAUGUUCAUGUGGGUACGUGGUUGUCACUGUUUAUAUUCAUGCAUUUUUCAAAUCCAAAGUCAAAUUAGAUGACGACGUCGACUCUAUUUGUCAAUUAUUUUGUGAUUAUUCUCUUCUUUAUUGUUGUUGUUGUUGAGAGAGAGAGAGCUCUGAUCUUGUUGCUGGGGUUGUUGUUCUGAUGUAUGUCGAUCAAUCAGUGUUAGCUAGAGCUUGCCCGCUCUAUGUACCACAGAAGGUGACGAAACAAAACUAGCUAGCUAAUUGAUUCCUAGCUACUAUAAAGUUUCUAUUGGAGCAUUUGUUCAAAUUCAGCUUGUCUAGCACUAGAGCAUGCAUUCUUCCAAAAUAAAUUAAUAAUUGCAUGCACAUAAACUUGUAACUAACUUACCGGACCAAAAAAACUGACCGGAAAAAAUCUAAUACUGUGGAUCCAUUUACUUGAAAGGCUAGCUAUCAGACAAAAUGUGAACUGAAAAAAUAUUAGUCUUGAUCGGAAUUUUUGAUGCAUCGCCGGCCUAUUCACUUACACAUACUUGGAAGGAAAAUAAUUGACAAGUAGAUUGCUACUUGAUGGUUAUUUAGUAGUAAUGCCCUAAUAAAGAAUCUUUGGGAAAUAUGAUGAUGUCAAAGUUUGAUUUUGUUUUCAUUUGGUUGCUCAAUUAUGCAGGUAAAUAUAUAAUUCUUUACAAAAUGGAUUUUAGUAGCUAUUAGUUCCUCUUAGAUUAAGAAUACAAAGAAAGUAAGACCAAUCCAGAUGUGACAUAGAUAUAUAACGUACAAAGUAACAUUACAACAGUACGAGACAACAACUUAGAAAGGGAUUCGCCUGUAGAUAUGUUGCCACUUGAUCGCAUGUUAAGUUUCCCAAACACUCAGAACAGCAAAAUUGAUCUAGAACAGCCCAGGUACGUAUAUAUGUCUUAUUCAUAUAUAUGAUUAUAUGCUGAAAGCCAAUGAAUCAUGACGAAGAUUAUUCAAGAUAAUAUAUAUAUAUAUAUCCAGGUUUAGUCAAAGACUGAAAGCCACAAUAUUCGAGUAGUUAAACCAGAAAUUUAGUAGGCCAAUGAAGUACGUAGCCUAAACAGAUUAAACCAGCAAAUUAAACCCCAAAAAUUUCAUCCCAACCAUGAUUGUUUAAGAUCCGUGAACCAUGAAGAAAAAGAUAGAAGAUAAGACCACCACGAACGCAUGCAACAUUCAAAUUGGACUCGCAUGUAGUCUAUCCAUGAUUAUUAUUUUAGUUAUACCCAGAAACCUUCAUGGUUCUUAGUCUUAACUCUUAAGAAGCAGAGGGGUUAUUAUGUGAUUUUUCCAGUCAAAAUAAUAUACAAAUCAAUGAUGAAUUAAUCUACUAUAAUCUCUGUGGUCAAGAAUGUACAACAAUCCCAUUCCCUAUAUCACCCGUGUGCAGAAAGUUUUGUAUUUUCUAUCUUACAACAAUGAUGUUUUAUUUCAUAUUUGAGAUCGACGGGUCCUUGACCUUUAAGCCUAUUGAAGAAAAAAAAAUAGGAUCACAGUUCAUACAGUACUAGCUAACUAUGAUUGUUUCGACUAUAUUCAAGCUCUGCGUUUCUUUCAAAUGCCUAAUGUAAAAUCUGUUUUUAUAUAGGAGGCUCAUGAUCCUUUUUCAAUUAUUGAACAAAACUAAAUAGCCUUGCUGCUUCAUAAAUUUCUGCAAUCCGUCGGAUAUAGUGUAAUUGUGAUCCUUCCUACUUGCGCAAAGUUUUUUUUUGGGUCGAAGUCAAUAUAUAUUCAUAAAGAAGCCAGAAGGCAAACCAUUAGCACAGCAGAGAAAGCAAAUAAACAAGCAAAAACAUCCGAAAAAGGAAAACUUGAAGCACUAAUAGCUAGCUCUAUUUACAAAAACUUGCGCAAAGUUAAUUUGCACAUACAUAUUCAUCAACCCUAGCCUAUUCAUCAACUAAUAGUUUUCAACGACGUACAUGUUAGAUUGUUUAACAUCUUAGUACUAGUGUAAGCUUGCUGCUUCUAAGGAUAGUGAGGAGAUUGAGAUUCCUACCAAUGUCAUCAUUGCAUGGUAUUUUAUCAUCAGCUACGGGAACUUGACUUCCCUAGACGUUUUUCAUCACAUCAGGAGAGUCAUAGACGACCUGCAUAACGAGCAACUAAGGUCAGAACACUACAGUACACUUCACAAUUUAACAAGGUCUCAUGUGUGUUAACAUUAACAAACUGGAAGAUCAAUGCAAUCCUUCUUCCAUCUGGCACGCAAAACACCUAUAUGCCAUCAGGCAGGAGUUAAGCCCCGAAAGACAAAACAAAGAGUUCACAAUGAAAGCAUAUAUAUGCAUGUCACAAAGUUCAGAAACCCUUGGUUAAUUUUGAAUCCUAAGAAGUGUUAAUUAAUAUGUCCUCAGAAAUUCGAUCAAUCAACUAUAUUCAAGAUCACAUAGUUGAUCAUUAAUAGCUAGAUUGAAACAUCAGUCAUGAGGCAUUAGAAAUCGGCAUAAGGGGCAUUGGUGAUUGAUCUCCAGCCACUGAACAACGCAAUCUCCAUGAUAGAAGUGUUGGCAAGGCAAGCAAGUAGCUUCAACUCCUGCUUUAAAGUCCUCCAUACAAAUAACACAUAACCCGGCAUGUCUUGCAGCUUCCACACUCUCGAAUCUCACUUUCUCCAACUCCUCAAUUGCAGAUUUACUUGUUGGGAUGGUCAUGGCCAUAUAUGUUUCCAUGGAUUCUAAUGUAAUCCUGUCAAUCUCCUCGUUACCAUUAUCAUCUGUGUCCAUGUCUAUGGAGAAUUCAAAAUCCAUCAGUAGCAUAUCCGAUUCGAGCACUAAAUGAUCGCCAUACUCAGUAUCAUAUUCAGUUAAUGAACUAUAGAGAUAUUGAAACGGCUGAUCAGUAUCGACAUCCUGAUUAGGCGCCUCAAUAUCCCUAUGGUUCAUCAGUUGAACAUCCUCAAUAAGAUAGUCAUUAUCGAUAUCUAUUUCUGUCAACGCAAUCAACUCUUGGGCCAAUGCAUCGGCAUGAUAAUUAUCAUGAUACAAGUCAUGUAACUCAUAAGAUAACCCGGCUAACAUUGCAUCCAAACAAUCUCCCCAUUCCAUCUCGCAAUCAUUAUUAUUUGGCUCCAUGUUUAAAUCAAUACCUCUUUUGGCCUUGUAAACCUAUCAUUAUCCAAACAAUCUCCCCAUUCCAUCUCGCAAUCAUUAUUAUUUGGCUCCAUGUUUAAAUCAAUACCUCCUGGCCUUGUAGACCUAUCAUCAUCAAAAGCCUCAUCAUCCGGGACAACAUUUAGAUCUAUGGAAGCUGCUUCACGUCUUAUGGUCACAUCAAAAUAGCCACUAGUACUGCCUGCGGUGACGUCCAUCUUCCCAAGGCUAAGAAGCUCAGAUAUGUUUGCAACAAUAUUUUGCUGCACCUGUGGUGGUUCACCCAUGUCUCCAAGAACCCUAGUGACCUCACCGAACUGAAUAUUAUGGUUUUGCCUAGUUCAGUUUCAGAUGACUUGUAGAGAUGAAUAUAGACGGGAAGACUUUUAGUUUCUGUGGGAUUGGAAACCACUUUACCUCGGUUUGAUAGUCGGCGUGGUGGUGUUGUAUUUGGUUUACAGAAGGAAAUGCUAAAACCCUAAUACAGCUUUUGAUGGAUGCUCAAUCUCUCUCUCUCUCUCAGCCUCUCCUAAUCGGUUUGAUCAAUUGUUUGGUUUCAUAGUUCUGCUUUUAAUCUUUUAUAUAGGAAUUGCUAAAUCCUUGUUACAGUUGGAAAGAGAUUCUUUAUUUUUUAUUUUUUUUGACCAAAAAGAUUUUGUAUUUUUGCAUAAUUAAUUCCCUCAACUUUUCUAGUACCCUGGUAGGCUGCGGAUGGGCUUGGAGAUCAAUAUCUUUGAUGUCAUGUUGGCGGUCAUGUUUUUAUCACAAAUUAUUUACUAUUUAGUGAACAUUGUUCAAAACCUUCAUGAUAGCAAAGAGCGUUCGUGUCAAUGAUAUAUUCUUCACAGGAAGAUGAUCACUUAGAAUUAACAAGCAUAUAACGAUGUACAAGGGCCUCCCUUAGAAAAACGCAGUACAAAUUUACGGAAUUUUUAUAAUUGAUCCAAAUAAGGUCACUCAUGAUCGAUACAGCGCAAUAACCAUUCAGAUUAACAAUUAAAUUCAAGAAGCAAUAUAUGCCAUUCACAUGAACACUAGCUGGCCUAAACUUGCACAGACCAAACUAGAAUUUCAAGUCAAGUACCUGACCUAGUGGGGGGUUUUCCUUUUCUAUUUCAUCGUAUUCAGGAAGGCUAAAUUCUUGAGGAGCAUGAUAUCCAUAUUCUUUUGGAGCAGCUACCUCCCUUAGUGCAUUAAGAGCAGCCUUUCUCUUUUGCCUGUGCUCUCUCCAUCGCCUUAUCUGAUCCUCAAGUCCUGCUUUAGCUGUCUCAGCAAGAUCAGCCCUCGUAACUGCCUGUUCUGCUCGGCUCCUGAAAUGCGAUACUUUUUCCGAAGCAGCCUCCAACUCCUUCUUCAACCUUUCCAACUCAGACUUAUCUUCUGUGGCACUUAAGCUUGACUGUCUUGUAAAACUGAGUUCAUUCUCCAAUGACAAAGGAAUUUGAUCAGCCUUCUCGGCCUUCUCAAUCAAGCACUCAUAUUCCUUCAAAGAAAUUGUUAUGAGUUGUGCAUCAUCCUUUUGGUUCCUCUCUUCUUGAUCUACUUCAGCCUUGAGUUCUUCAAUUUCGGAAGCUUCAGCAUCCUGAAAUUGUUCGUCAUCAGCUUCUUCCUCUACCCCAUCAACUUCUUGUUUUAACAUUCUGUUCUCCUUCUUGGCAUUUUCGGCUUCUAUUGCUAGUUCCUGAAUUGCAAGAUACAUCCCUGACUUCAUGUUCUCCUUUCUUGCUUCGGCUGCUUCAGCUGCUGCAAUUUUUGACCUUCCUCUAUGCAGCUCAGAUUCCAGCAGUGCUAUUUCCACUAGUGCAUUGCUUUCCCUUUGUUUGAUCUCGCCAAUCUCACUUCUUGCAUGCAGUAACUCGCCGGUUAAAAGUUCAACAUCAACCUUCAAGCCAUUAGCCACUUCAUUAGCAUUUAUCAACUCUUGUUUUAACUUGUUCAAUUCCAUUUCAAGUGACUCAAUCAAAACUUCCUGAUCCAGGUUCUUUCGUUCUUUCCCUUCCAACUCUUCCUGUACCACUUUCAUAUUAUCGAUAGCAUCAGAAGCAGACUUCUCGGACAAAACGAGUUUAUCAUUUAGUUCAUUGAUCUCAUAUUUAAGCAUUUCAAUGCACUCAGACUUGGAAAGGAGCUGAUUCUCCAACUCCUGAACAGCUAGUGUUUGUGUUCUCAUGUCUUCUACCUGCUCCUGUGCUUUAAGAGCAGCUUGUGUAGCUAACUCAAUCUCAGCAUCUUUCUCUGACAACAUUGCCGACUUCUCAUUCUCCGCCUCAAUGGCAGCAUCUUUUGACAUGAAUAUUGCAUCUUUGAGAUCUGCGACAUGUCUCACUAGCUCUUCCGUCCUCUCUUUUUCCAUGGUGAAAGCAGUCUCCAUCAAUUCCGCUUGCGUUAAGGCCUUGAGCUCCGAGUCUCUUGCACGCGCGAGGUCAGUUUCCAAGCUAAACAGCUCGUCUUGUGUGGCCUUCAACUCGCUAAAAACGUGCAUAAGCUUCUCGGGUAGCUUGGCAGUUUCCGAAAGCUGAUCAGCCAUCUCCUUCACCUUGGACUCGAGUUCCUCCACACGAGUGCUAGCCUCUUUACAUUCUCGUAUGUAUGCAUCUCUCUCAGUCUCAAUGCUUUGAAGCAGAGUGGAAAGCUCAUCUGCUGUGUACUGAUGGUGUUGCAGCUUAAGGAGAGCUUGCAUGUAGGCAGCAUCCUUUGCUUCCAAUUGGACCUUGUAAUUGGCCAAAUCCUUUAGUAUACCUUCAAUUUCUCUCUCUUUCUCACUCUCCUUCUACCAAAAACAAAAAACAAAGAAAAGAGUACAAAAUCAAACAUCAUCUUAAAUACUAACAUAUAGGCAUAGCAGACCGAAAUUCAAAUUUGUAACCCUAGCAAAUACCAAAUGAAGAAAUAAAAAUUCAAAUUCAGAGAAGAAUAAAAUUCAGUUUUGAUUUUAUAAGAAUCAAUGCAGCCAUAUUAGCAUCUUCACCUCUAUACCUUUAGGCAGAAGUACCUGCACAUUGAUGCUUAAUCAAAUACAUGCCCAGAUCGGAAUGAUCAUGUUCACAUCUUUUACAAAGGAAACCACAGUAAUUAACUAUCACAGUUCAAACUUCAGAACCAAGAAAAUACCAAUAUAUACAAUAUUUAACUAGACAUUACUUUUUAGGAUUUACUAGUUAGUAGUACAGAAGUAAAGUUCAGAUCUUACAUCGGUGCCGGUAGGAUGGGGUCUCCGGUGAUCAGCUUUAUCUUCAAACAAGGACAAAGCAGCCUGGACUGAUUCAAUUGGUUUGGUAUCAAUCUCACCCAUGUUUCCCACCUAGAAACCCUACAAGAAAAUGGGUACAAUAUUCAACUGUUCAGUUAGUAAAAGACCAAUCACUGCUACCUCAAAAUCCAUUCAUGAAAGAUCAAGGGUACCUGAAACUGAGUGAACCAAAGUAGGAAGUGGAAAUGAGAAGUGAAGAAAGCAAGAGAUUUGCAGGCCAUUCAUAGAGUGAGGCAUUGUUUUAUGUGUCUUGGAUUUCGGAUUUGGUGUUUACGAAGUUGGCCGGAGCCUAUCUGUGUUUGAUCCGCCUCUGCCUUGUGAUCACCAAGACGGCAAAAGCACAAACCUACAACUUUUGGCACUAUUUAUUUGCAGUUAUUUGCUUUCAUCAAUAUGCUGUUCUUGAUUUUCUGCAACGUAUAUUCUUCCAUGACAAUGGAAUAUAGUUGAGCAGGUGACGUAUUCAUAUGUAUAUGAUUGUAUAUAUUUGGGCCAACUUUCCUUGGGCCUUUACAAGUAAAGUACAGUAAUUCCAGCCCAAACCCAUAAUUGAAUCGUAGACGUUGAUAGAGGCCUAAUGGGUGCAUAACAGGAAUGAGAUUCCCGUUUGUUUUGGGAUUUUGACAAUACCAUUAAUUUGUGAGAACGAAACAAUACCAUUAAUUUCAAAAUUGCGUAUAAUGCUGUGUUGAUAAAGCAAUCAAAUGGUGUCGUUCAAACGUCAUCGGUCUUCCUCAAGAAGUUUAUUGAAAAUUCAAUUAUUUAUGGGGCGCUGCUCAGUUGCCAUAUUAUUAUGACUCAUCUAUGCAUGAGUUUUUUUCUCAAAGAAAGAGAGAUUUGCCCAAGCAUUACUUGGGUGAGAGUGUGAGGAAACUACUACUACUUCCAUCUUCUUCCUUGUUCAUCAGACUCAGAGUGAAGAGAUAGCCUGAUUAAAGAAUGGAGAACACUCUGACAAAAGUUAUUGGGAGCUCUUGGAUUGCUAAGAAAGCAAAGGAAGAGAUCAACAACAUCACAGAUGAUUUAUCUGUAAGUAUUCACAUGAAGAUCGAUCGAGUUUCACACUUUCUAAUUUCUUCGUCUCUUUAUCAUGGGUAUAUACCUAAAUAGGGCUUUACGCCUUUACCUAUUUGAAUGAUAUAAAUUGAUCUCUACAAAGAGUUGGUUUUGGUUCAAUGAGAUUAGAGUUGAAGAUUGUAGGGCUCUAACAAUGAUGCUUCUGGUGUUCUACCCUUCAGUUCCCCUGUUUCCAAUCUUCAUAGCUGAUUUUCUAUCAUGCAUCUUAAAGGGCUUUCUUUGGUGUUUGAUCGAUAUUUUAGUAAUUUGGGAAAAGCUUAAGGCUUUAGCAUUUAGGUUGAUUCACACAUUUGUAUGUACGUGUUGUCUCGUACUAUCCAAUUUCAUGUGAUGAAUAUAUAUGAAUAUACACUAUUGCAUAAUGAUUCCUUAUGCAACUCUUAACUCUAUCUUGUUAUUUUCUGUUGGUAAUUUCAGUCAAUCUCAAACGCUGUGGAGGGAAAGGCGAAAUGGGUGUUCAACAAGUUUAAAGGUAUGCUGCUGUUUUGAACUUUCUGAGCUCAUUCUAGUGAACCUUAACUACAAAGAAACUGUUUGUCAUAUCAAGAUUCAUCGAUUCCUCAACGUUUGUCCUUUUGAAAUUUCAGAUGUUCUUUAAUUUAUCUUUCUUUAAUUGGGGGACUUUUAACACUUGAAAAGGAAUAGGCACUUUAAUUUUAUUAGAAUUUGAACAAUACACCAUAGAGGCAAUUUAGCAAGACUCUAAGCAAGUCCUGCAUAAUGCAUGGAUAUAAAAACUAAGAUGACAGAAGAGGUUCUUCUCUGUUCUGACUAACUAUCUGCCCAACCAUCUUAAUGAGAUUAUAAGUACUUCUUAAGAAUAUUAACUUAUCAUAGUAUCAGAUUACUAGAGAUCAAUAUUGGAGAGAAUGAAUCUGGAACAAUUUUCAAGAGAUGGCACCUUUUGACAAAGGAUACUAGCAGACUGCAUUAAUCUGCCAUAUCUAUGCACUUCCACCUAAAAAAGCUGAAAUUCACGCUUCUUUUCUUAAAGAACUUUGUAGAAACCUAAUUUGAUUUCAUAGCAAAAUUGUGCCUAGCAAAAAUAACCACCAAUGUUUAAUAGUAGUUGAGCUUGCACUUUUUUCUCUAACAUAUCUUGUGUAUGAAGGAGUACUUCAAACUCAUCCAAGGAUGAGAAAUACCACUCACCCAUUGCUAGUUGGUUGAGUGAAACUUGUCAAUGCUGUUAACCAAUAACUCUCUCACUAAUUAUGGGCUAACCUUCAGUCCUUCAUUAUGAGUUGGUGUGGUGUUUUAGAAAAAAGCCUUUUAAGACUUCUCAACACACUAGUCAGAAACUGAUUUAGACCACUAACCCGAUCUGAGAGUUACUUAAUUGGGUACUGUUUCAUUGAGCCAUUUAAUUUAAUCACAUCAAAGUGAUCAAACUAUAUUUCUAUGCUUAGUGUAACUUUCAGCCCAAGUAAAACAAGGAUGCAAUUUCAAAACACAUGAAGCUGACCAUAAAAUGUGCACUUAUUUUGCGCAGGCAAGCCACAAAGAACGUUGCCAGAGCUGCUCCGAUUGUACAACCUUCCUCCGGGCCUAUUUCCCCGGAACAUAAAAUGCUAUGAGUUCGACGAAUCAAAGGGGAAGCUCAUUGUGUACAUGAACUCUGCCUGCGAGGUGAGCUUCAAGGACUCGUCUGUUGUAAGGUACGGGGCUAGGGUCAAGGCAUCAUUGACAAGGGGAAAGCUGGAUGCAAUAGAAGGAAUGAAGACAAAGGUUGUUCUGGUUUAUGUCAAAGUCACUAGUUUAGCUGUAGAAGGCUACAAGUCUGAUAAAGUUUGGUUCACUGCUGGCUUGAAGAGAUCAAGACCAAAAGAUGCAUAUGAAAUGCCUCGUGAUGCCUCCGGUGUUGAAGAAUUUUAAGAUUCUUUUUUGUCACAUAUCGAUUUAAGUGACACAAUCAUCACUUCGUCACUUACAUUCUUUGGAGCUACACUAUUAUAUUGAAGGCUUAAUUUUCGACAUAAGCUAAUGAAGAACCGUGAAUUCUUGGUUAUUGUAGGAUUUUGUGAUGAGAAUUCAGAUCACAAAACUGCAGACAACCCGAACAGAUCAAAGAGAUUGGUAGGGAUGUAUCUAUCAAAGUUUAUCAGCAUAUGAAACUAGUACAUUUCGUUAUAGAAAUUAAUUAAUGGUGUCAAUUAAUCUGCUUGAUUUUUUUUUUUGGGUUCUUUUUACACAAGGAAUAAAACAUUCACAUCAUCCCAUGCAACUAUGCAAGUAUGCAGGCAAACUAGUAAUCGAAACAACUCAUGAGCCGUUAUAACGUAGGAACAGACUCAAAGUCGGCCCAAUAUAGGAACACUGAUUAUCUUUGGGUUAAAUGCUUUGCCCAGGUGAACUUUGCAGAGUGAAACUUGGCUCUGUGUGUGGAACUUGGAACUUGUACAACAUAAUUGGAUUGUUGGGAAAAGAAGGGACAUUAUUAUAGUUUUUUUUUUUUUUUUUUUGAUAAGGGGUUUGGAAGCUGGCUCAUCCGGGACAUUAUUAUAGUUAAAAUGUAAAAAAUAACACCGAUAAACAUACACGAUGAAAGAAUGAAACAACAAGAAGUUGCUAAAAACACGAAUAUACCUUGGAAACACAGUAAGAAAUGGUAAAAAGAUGAAAGAACAAGAAGUCAUCAAGGAAGAAAACUACGAAUGCCUUGGAAACACAUUAAGAAAAGGUAAUAUCUGGAAACUAAUAUCAUGAUUGAUGAAUUUGAAACAAAAAGUGCUGAAACUAAUAUCAGAUAACACAUCAUGCAGUCAAUGGAAUUGUUCUCUACUUUGCUCCCAAACACAGGAAAUUACAUCUAAUUCAAUUUCAAACUCUGUCCAUCAGAGGUGUUACAAAUGGGGUCUCCCCAGCAAGAGCAAGUUCACCUUGAGGCUCGAAUACAAAUAGGCCUCAAAGAGUUCGAUAAAGUUUUUCGAUAAAAUGAGUUCGAUAAAGUUUAUAUGUCAAACCUUAACUAAUAGAUGCUAGUUAGUGAUCAUCUACCACACCCAGACCCAGUCUACAAAAGGGCUCCUACUCCCUAUAUUCCUUCUUAAAGUAAAUAAAAGUGCGAGUAAAGAUAUUCCCGUAUCUUGUAAAAAUCCUCUCAUGCUGGACCUUCAAUCACAAUUUGCUGUGAAUCAGCACCACCACCCUACAACACAAACGUAUGCUUCUGCAAGUCAAGCUUUACAUCCUAAAUGGCUCUUGUAGUUUGCAAAAGUCUAGUAUAUAUAUGCAAGUGUUGCAUUACCUUAUGGCUUGCAUCCCCAACCUUGCGUAUUGUCACAUGUUCACCACAUCGCAAAGCCCCACCAGCAAAGGACACCUGUCAAUCAAGGUCAUUGAACGACGAUAGUUUGCAGAAUACUAUUUUCCAAGAACUUUAACUUAUAUCUGGGCUCAAAAACAUGAAGUUGAAAUCAUUUGUCAUGUUACUGAGUGAGGAAAUGCCUAAAAAUGGUACCCGGACACCGUUAUAAGCAAGAAAUUGCUUGAAAUCGCCAUUUUAAAGUCACCAACUGGGAUCGGUUUAUGUGGUUGAGCUGCAGUUGUAAAAACAGCAUUUCAGCUUCUGUCUUCCUUACCUCAGAAUUGAACCAAGCUAUUUCAUUCUCUCCAACUGUACAUUUACAUCAAAAUGAUUAGGAAGGAUAAGACAUAGAAAACAAAAUACAUCAAAAUCAUUAGGAAGGAUAAGGUACAGACAACAUAAGUUGACACUUCAAUGCUUACCUUCUUAAAGAUUAUGUCACUCAUGAGCUGGAGUUGAGCAGGGUUGUAAAGACAGCUUUUCAUCUUCUGUCUUCCUUACCUCAGAAUCGAACCAAGCUAUUUCAUUCUCUCCAAGCUGUAUAUUUACAUCAAAAUGGUUAGGAAGGAUAAACCAUAGAAAACACAAUACAUCAAAAUCACUAGGAAGGAUAAGAUACAGACAACAUAAGUUGACACUUGAAUGCUUACCUUCUUAAAGAUUAUGUCACUCAUGGGCUUCUCGGACAGUUGUACCUGCAUCACAACAUCAUGAGAAAUGAAGAAAAUUGUGAUUCUGAGUCACAGAUCACAAAUAAAUGAAGAAAUUCUGUGAUUACCUUAUAAGCACAUAAAUCGGACGUCACAUCAAUUGUUUCUUCUAGUUGAGGAGCAUAUACAUGAAGGCAAACAUGCUUCAAGCAGUGUUGCUUCAGAUGUUCAGUGGCUUCACAUGAACCAAAACCUUACAAGAAAAGAAGUACACACCAUAACAAUAAGUUAAUCUCACAUCAAAUUAUAACAAAACAUUUACAGAAUGAGCUGAAGCCCACAGACCAUGAGUGCAUUCAAAAGAGCUGAUUGGAUGAAAAGACUUUUAGACAAUAACUAAACAGUUAUCUGAUUAUUUAUAGAGCAAAAGCUGGAAAACGUCAAAAGUAGGUAUAUGCCAAACCGAUUCUGUUACGAAAGAGCAAUGCUGUAAUUAUCUUUCGUCACGGUAAGUAAUUUAUUUUACUGCAAGGCCGAAGGACAUAACAAAGAUUUUGCCAUAAAUCUAGCUAAUACCCAGAGUCCCAGACAACGUAGAGUUUGGUUCUUGAACCUGUGAAGUGGGUUUCCACUUUUCAGGGAAAAAGAUCUCACCAAGCCUAUGCUUGAAUUUCUGCGAGGUGCUCUAUAUUUGUGGCAGACAGACCAUGUGGAUUGUCUCUGAAUCAAUAUAUGAUGGUGUUCUCACAAUGGUGGUUUGAUGAUGAUCAUGGUGGCAAGGAAUUGAAGGUCCUCAACUCUGUUUGAGUUGACACUUAGACACCCAUUUUUGAUUCUGAUCUUCACACUUCACCACUCUCUCCUCUCCCUCGUUGAAUAGAGUAUACGACAUGGGUUUACUAUACAUAGAGGACUACGAAUAGUAUCACAUAAGCUCCACAACCUCAAUCUUCUUCCGAUAGAGGGUCUGAUUCAACCCCAAAUUCUACCAAUCCAAGCACCACACCAGCUUUUCUUUCACAUUCAUAUCACUCCUCCAAACCGAUAUUGCAUAGCCCAUCCUCUUACAGUCCUACCCAUAUGUUGCAAAGCCAAUUUCGCACGGGUUAUCCGGCAGGUCUUGAUCAAAAUCGAAAUCGAUCAAUUUCCUCUGCCGCGUGUCGGCCCGAUCGUCGUUUUCCUCAACUAUCUGAUCUCUGAUUCCGACUUCACCUCAGCCGUCAUGUUCGACAAGCACCCAGAAAGAGGUUAAGGUUGGGGCACUUUGGGGUGGAUCCAGAUCCUCUCCUAAUAAACCUCUGCUAAUACUUCCUAAUAAGAAGAUCUGGACCAUUCAUUUUCCAUAGACGGUCAAGAUCUCUCAUACUCUUAACUCAAGGCUAUCUCUCAUCUAUUCUCUUAUUUAUGUCUCGAUCAAGUUCUCGUCCCAUUCUCUCUCUCUCUCUCUUCCAUCCCGGAAAUCAAUCUCGCCUCUGUCCGGACCUCUUCCCAACCUCCGGCUCCGGCGUCCUCCACAUAGAAGACCCAUUUGCUCUGGGAUCGAAAUCUCUCUUUGACUCUUCUGAUUACCUGUAGCUUGAAUUGUGUUACAUCAACAGUAAAGUGGGACUGUGUUUCGUCUCCAGAAAACUCGUUUUGAAUUGCUUUUUGAAGGCACGAGCACGUUGACAAUUAUUCUAGUGAUUGAGAUUUUUGUUGUACUUCUGUUUUCGGCAGCAUGUUUUAGUGACAUGUGUGUUGGUGCAAUUGCGUGCCGGCUUGAGAGGAAUGAAGGUGGAAUUGUCUGUACUCUGUACAUCAUUGAUUUGGUGUGUUCUUGAGAAGAAUUUCAGUAUCUAAUUGAUUUGGUGUUGGGCUGUCCAGGAUGUCCAGAAAGACUCAUAAUUCUGAUAUGCAGUACGAGUUUCUUUGAUCUUUGUCACUUCUCAUUUAUGCUUGAUUAGUCUAGUUACAGACUUGCUAAAUCAUUGGAAGGCCGAGUCAUGUGAGCAUCUGUUAUGUUUCUGCAGACAUGACUGCCUCUUUCCUUUAAAUCAUUGUACCAAGACAUGACUGUUAUUUGAAAUUUUUUGAAGUUAGUGGCACCAAGUUUGCAGCUGAAGCAUGCUUUAGUCGGAAAGUUCCUUAAAACUUGAUAAAAACCAAUUUUGAUCUGUGAGCAUUAGAUAUUGAACUCUGAAUCAUAAAGUGUUCACAUGAUAAAAAUCCAGAUUUGGCUACCCUAAUCUACUAAUUCAUAGAAGACAUAGUUAUGCUUUUGGAAUUCAAAAAGGUUUACAAUGGUUAGUUAGUGAUUGUAUCUUAACUGUGUGGAGUUCAGUAUCAUCCCCACUAAUGCGAAACAUGAAGCAAAAAUAUUAGUAUCUUAAAGAUCCAUAUCCCACAAAAACAAAAAUUAGAAGCUUAAUGCCAUGUACAUGACCUCAUCAAGCCAUAAUCUGGACGUGGCUGGUCAUUGUACUUCAAGAGUUCAAGGCAUCUAGCUGAACAACUUCUUCUGCGCUAAACUAGAGCACAAGUCAUAUACAGAGAAAUAAGAGGUCUUUUGUUGCAUUCCGUCCAAAGCUAAGACCCCCAAGCUUAUCACAUAACCCACACAAACAACCUCAUUUGGAUGGUCACCCGGUCACCCACUACUCGAACCUCAAACCCUGCACAACUGAAGUCCCCUGCCAUCCCGUUAUGGGCUAGCCAGAUAUAGAGGGCCCAAGCCGCCGUGAAGGACACCGGAGCCGGAGGUUGAGAAGAGGUUCGGACGGAAGCGAGAUUGAUUUCGGGGACGAGAGAGAGAGAGAGAGAGAGAGAGAGAGAGAGAGAGAGAGAGAGAGAGAGAGAGUAGUAGUAGUAGAGNNNNNNNNNNNNNNNNNNNNAGAGAGAGAGAGAGAGAAUUUGAUGGAGAGUCGAGACAGAAAUAAGAGAAUAGAUGAGAAAUAGGCUUGAGUUAAGAGUAUGAGAGAUAUUGGCCGUCUAUUGAAAAUAAACGGUCAAGAUCUUCUUAUUAGGAAGUAUUAGCAGAGGUUUAUUAGGAGAGGAUCUGAAUCCCUUUGGGGUUAAGAUUAUAGGAGAUUUGACAUAAACGCCCGUAAAAAUUAACUAUGACGGAUGAUACAGAAGUUAAGUCAGAUAUUUACUUUUAUGCUUUUAAAAUUCAAAAUUUGUGGACAAAACGAUGCCACGUAUCAGGACCUACCUUGGCGUACCAUACGUAGGCGUAGUCCAGCGCUUCCCUAUUUAUAGCCCCUCAUAUUGUGCAUUCCAAAGAAAGUUGGGUGAAAAAAAAAGCACCGAAAAGAAUUAUCAUACAAGCUUUAAGGAGCCAUAUGGAAAAGAAUCUAUUUAACAGAUCUCCCAUCAGAACGACCCAUAAAGUCCAUAUAUAUAUAUAUAUAUAUAUAUAUCAGUGAACACUUCACUAGUACCUGCAUUAGAAGGGAGAAAACAGCAAUAUACAACUUCGUAUUAGAGAACAUUAAGAAUAGUAAACUAUAAACUAAUUUAACAAGCUUCAACUUACAGUCAAAUCACUUGACACGACUUUCGAAGGCCUUGAAUCGAGAAUUAAACUAGCAGUGGCUUCGUCAAUUUUUCCAUCAAUAUCAGCUCCAACCUGAAAUGGAUGAUGAGACUCAAAUAUAGCACAUAGACAUGAACUGCAGACUAAUACUUAUAAAUCUAUGUUUCAAAAUUUGAGGAACAUUUGGCAUGAAGAAGCAUGGAAACGAUUCUUUUGAAAAAUCAAAAUAACCCGAAAGUAAAUCACAUAAUGACUUUGAUUAACAUUUACUUGAAAGCAAGGAAGAAAAUUUCGAUGAUUACGGAAAUUUCGACCCUCUAGAAUAUGGAAAUUUCGGGGAAAUAUCGAUUGUAGUAAAAAAAUGAGAAAAUUUUAAACCAAACUUUAAGAAAUGUUUGUUUUUUAUAUUACGUACUAUAUUUGAAAUGAAAACCUUGAAUAAACAUUGAUCUAUAUGGAGUUGUAGUAAGUUAAGGUGAAAAAGUUAGUGUUGAACCGUUAAUAAUUCUUAAAAGUUUACUUUUUAAACAUUUUUUUUUUUUAUGGCUAGAAACCCAAAGAGAGGCUAGGUCAUCACGACUUAUAUACAUAUGAUACAUUUCACAUGGAAUUACAUGAAUGUUUUAAAACCACGUAGAAGACCUAUGAGGAACAAAAUUUUCACUAGUAUUGGUUGGAAAUAUCGGGAUUUUUCGGAAAUAUCGGGAAAUAUCGAGAGUUUCGGACGAGAAAUGCUUGGGAGGGGAAAUAUAUAUCCCUAGGUGAAAAAAUCGAAAGUUUCAUUGAAAUAUUGCCAAAACUUUUGAUUUUUUCUUCCUUGCUUGAAAGAUUCGUGAAGAAACCAGUUAAGUGGGACUUUCAUUAUUCAUUACUUGCAUGUCUCAUCAACAGGGAGAAAGGGGUAAAUAACAGCAGCAGGACAUUUCAGGACAACAAUCAUCAAGACGAAAAACACAAUGUGCUUAAAAUUCCUCGUGUGUUGGGAGCUCACAGCACCUGUAAAUUCACUUUUGCAACUAUAAGGCUGGUUGUCCAAAGCAUUAUAGGCAAUUGUUAACAAAACAACAGGGAGCACAAACAAGGACUGAUUAAUUCCAUUCAAAUGUUUGACAAAAUCCACAACCGAAAGUAGUUUAAUCUUCUUUACAUAGUGUCAUUACGAAAUUGAAAUGCGGCGAGGGAUUGAAGGAAGAGCAAGGACUUAGGGACUUACUUUUCUUUUCAACAUAUAUAACAUCCUCCCCAUCCUUACUCCUUAGUAAUCUUCCACACAACAGAUGCCCAGCCAGCGAGGCUUGACAACGGGCCGGGUUCGUGCGGUCACGGGCUGAUUCUUAACGGGUUAAACCCAUUAGCUAACAGGUCAAACUGGGCCGAGCCCGAUGGGUUUACGGGUUUCCGUUGGAACCCGUUAAGCACGCGAAUUUUUUAUUUUUUUCCUAAACCCCUUGAAUUUGUGAAGAUCUUUUUUUUAAUGAGAUAAAAAAAAAAUUUACACCCCAAAGUUUAUCAGUCAAAUUGCUCACAACCUGCAACACCAUAGUAUUAUAUCAGUCAAAUUCACCUCCAUAAACUAUUAAUAUCAACUCUCUCAAACCAAAUACUAGCUUCUUCAGAAUGAAAAUACACCAGUAUGAACAAAAAUUCAAAACCUUAAGAGAUAAAAUGAUAAUUCAACAAAUAUUCAUUAAACAAAAUACAUAAUUUAAAUUUUUCUCCUUAAGAGAAGCUUUCUUGUUCCUCCAAUGCAUCAUGAUGGUCAAACAAUGUCAUAUGGAAAAUAUCCUCAGUAAGAUUAUCCACGCUCACACUCUCCUUCUCUAAAAGAAUAAAAAAGUUUUUAUUAAUAUUAUGAUGAAACAAAACUAAAUUGAUAUUUAUUUUACCUUUUUUUCCGAAAAUCCAAUCACGAGUACACAACAAAGCUUGAACAAUAAUACAAUAUCAGGCAAUAACGAACUCUGAUACUGGUCCAUAACUCGACUGCCAAUGCUGAAAGCCGACUCAGAUGCAACAGUAGAGAUAGGGAUAUCGUCAACACAUCACGAGCCAUAUGGAAAAGGAUAAGAUAUCGAUGUUGCUCCAUCUUACACCAAGGAAGUAUAUCCAACUCCAUCGAUCUAUCCAGCCUUGCUUCGUCCAGAUAUUUGCUCAAUUCACUCCUCAAGCUUGAACUAUAACCACUUCUAUAAUGAACAUCAAAAUCCUGCAAAUAUAGAAAUAGCUUAAGAGUAUGAAAACAAGUACACAACAACAUACUACAAGACAAUUAUAUAACACUUUUAUUUACCUCCAAUAUAUUAUGCUUGCAUUGUGCUUAAGACGAGCUCUAAUGAGUUGGAUAGCUUGAACUAUGGAGAUUAAAGCUCUCCACAUAAGCACCAUAUAACGAUGACAAUGUGUCACUAAAAUCCUUCAACUAUGAAGAAUCCCGACCAUAAAGUAUAAAGUAUGUCAUAAGUCCACUCCACAAACUCCAUCUUAAACCGUGGAUCCAAAACAACUGCAAUCCCCAAGAUACUACAAUAAUCCGACCAAUACUUCUUGAACUUCAAAUUUAUCUCCUCCCCCAUUCGUUUCAUAAAGGAAUCAUCAUCUUUCAUGGCUUGCUCUACAUUGUGCUGAAUAAUAAGCACUUUUGGGAAGACCAAGUUUGAUGUAGGAUAUUUUGUUCUAAAAAACAACUUGGUUACAUAAAAAAAACUCCCCUAGGAACUUGUUUAUCGUCUCCAUCUUAUCACACUCUUCAUCUUUAGGACACAACUUAAAGUUAGUGUCGCUCACCCCCAAGUUCUCCAAAGCAUAUCGGUAGAAGAGUGCACUGUCAAGCAUCAAAUAAGUUGAAUUCCAUCUUGUAGGCACAUCCUGCCUCAAUCCUUUUCUAUUACCACCCAAUCCAACUUCUGAAACACAUGCCAAAAACAUACCCAAUCCAUAACUUUCAACACGAAAUCACAACGAGAAAACCGUACCAGUAAGAUGAUGAUGAUGAUGUUGAAUCAAUAUCAUAAAUUAACAUUGAAACUUGCUGCAAUACAAAAACCUCACUCAGUACUUGCUUACAUUGCAUACACAAAUUAACACGGAAAUCCACAAUUCGAAGCACAAUUCGAGACCAGAAACCCUACCUUGCGUGAGAGGCCCUAGCCUGUAAACCAGCUCGGUGGAGAGUUUCCGGAGAGAGAAAGAUUAGGUCAGAGGAGAGAGAAGGGGCUUGGAGAGAGGUUUGAGGAGUCGAAUUAGGUUAGGACGGCGGAGGCGAGCUCAAAAAGCAACAAGAAAGAAAAUAAGGAAAACAGUAAAACGAGAAGAGAUUCAUACAUAUAGAAGAGAGGAGCUGUAACCGUAAAACAAUAAAAGUGUGGUACAUGACCACCACACUUCUUGAGAUACAACUAAAUAUUACUACUAGCCAAAACAGAAAAGAGACAGAAUAAGGAGCUGAACUGCAGCAAAAACUGAUACGCAGCAUAUUAAUGGUGAACGAAGGUGCAUAAGGAAAUGGUGAACGAAGGUGCAGAUGCAGGUUGAUGUGUGUUGAGGUGACAAUGGGCUUCAAGAGGCCAACACUCUGCAAGAGAAAAAUUAGGUUAGCAGCGGAUGUAAUAGUUCUAAUAAUUACAUAAAUGGAAGGAAAAAAAGUUUUUUUUUUUUUAAAUACACGUGGUGAAUGCGAGGCUCCACAAACGCACACUUUUUCUCUGCAUAAGAAGUGUAUGAAGUCUCCCUAAAUUCCCUAUAUAUAAUAUAAUAUAACGAACCACCACACCUCGCUAACUCCAUUCUCUCAUACUUCUCUCAUAGUCGUCUUUGCUUACUCAUCGCUCUUGCUUUCUCUCAUCCAAACCUAGCAGUAAGCUUGAUCUAUCUCUACAUUUCACUUGUAUAUAUAUCGUGCAUGGUCUGAUUAAUGUUACUCUGUUAGAUUUAUUGAUGAUUACUUAGUGUUGGGAAAACAUGGCUUAGAUUAGAGCACUUUGGAAUCCCACGUCAAAAACGUGAAGAAUUAUCGUUUGGUUACAAGAAAUGGUACCACACACACACACUAAUGUCGAGGCUAAACCUUACCUAAACCCUACCUUGCAUGAGAGGCCCUAGCCUGUAAACCGUCUCGGUGGAGAGUUUUCGGAGAGAGAAAGAUUAGGUAAGAAGAGAGAGAAGGGACCUGGAGAGAGGUUGGAGGAGUCGAAUUAGGUCAGGACGGCGGAGGCGAGCUCAAGAAGCAACAAGGAAGAAAAUAAGGAAAACAGUAAAACGAGAGGAGAUUCAUACAUAUAGGAGAGAGGAGCUGUAACCGUAAAACAGUAAAAGUGUGGUACAUGACCACCGCACUUCCUGGGAUACAACAAAAUAUUACUACUAGCCAAAACAGAAAAUAGACAGAAUAAGGAGCUGAACUGUAGCAAAAACUGAUACGCAGCAGAUUAAUGGUGAACGGAGGUGUAUAAGGAAAUUGUGAACGGAGGUGCAGAUGCAAGUUGAUGUGUGUUGAGGUGACAAUGGGCUUCAAGAGGCCAACACUCUGCAAGAGAAGAAUUAGGUCAGCAGUGGAUGUAAUAAUUCUAAUAAUUACAUAAAUGGAAGAAAAGAAAAAGUUUUUUACAAGUGGCGAAUGCGAGGCACCACAAACGCACAUUUUUUCUCUGCAUAAGAAGUGCAUGAAGUCUCCCCAAAUUCCCUAUAUAUAAUAUAAUAUAACGAACCACCACACCUCGCUAGCUCCAUUCUCUCAUAUUUCUCUCAUAGUCGUCUUUGCUUACUCAUUGCUCUCGCUUUCUCUCAUACAAACCUAGCAGUAAGCUCGAUCGAUCUUUACAUUUCACUUGUUUAUAUUUCAUGCAUGGUCUGAUUAAUGUUACUUUGUUAGAUUUAUUGAUGAUUACUUAGUGUUAGGAAAGCGUGGCUUAGAUUAGAGCACUUUGGAAUCCCACAUCAGAAAUAUGAAGAAUUAUCCUUUGGUUAUAAGGAGUGGUACCACACACACACACUAAUGUCGAGGCUAAACCCUACUUUGCGUGAGAGGCCCUAGCCUAUAAACCGGCUCGGUGGAGAGUUUCCAGAGAGAGAAAGAUUAGGUAAGAGGAGAGAGAAGGGACCUGAAGAAAGGUUGGAGGAGUCGAAUUAGGUCAAGACGACGGAGGCGAGCUCAAAAAGCAGCAAGGAAUAAAAUAAGGAAAACAGUAAAACGAGAGGAGAUUCAUACAUAUAAGAGAGAGGAGCUGUAACCGUAAAACAGUAAAAGUGUGGUGCAGGACCACCACACUUCUUGGGAUACAACAAAAUAUUACUACUAGCCAAAACAUAAAAGAGACAAAAUAAGGAGCUAAACUACAGCAAAAACUGAUACGCAGUAGAUUAAUGGUGAACGGAGGUGCAGAUGCAGGUUGAUGUGUGUUGAGGUGACAAUGAGCUUCAAGAGGCCAACACUCUGCGAGAGAAGAAUUAGGUCAACAGUGGAUGUAAUAAUUCUAAUAAUUACAUAAAUGGAAGAAAAGAAAAAGUUUUUUACAAGUGGCGAAUGCGAGGCUCCACAAACGCACACUUUUUCUUUGCAUAAGAAGUGCAUGAAGUCUCCCCAAAUUCCCUAUAUAUAAUAUAAUAUAACGAACCACCACACCUCGCUAGCUCCAUUCUCUCAUAUUUCUCUCAUAGUCGUCUUUGCUUACUCAUUGCUCUCGCUUUCUCUCAUCCAAACCUAGCAGUAUGCUUGAUCGAUCUCUACAUUUCACUUGUAUAUAUUUCGUGCAUGGUCUGAUUAAUGUUACUCUGUUAGAUUUAUUGAUGAUUACUUAGUGUUGGGAAAGCGUGGCUUAGAUUAGAGCAAUUUGGAAUCUCACAUCAAAAACGUGAAGAAUUAUUCUUUAUAAAGAAUGGUACCACACACACAAUAAUGUCGUUGGUCUAGAUGUAGCCAUUGCUUCCCGACCCUCUCGAAGUCUGUAAUCCUAUGUCAUUGUACAUAUCGGAAUCUACUCUAAAUGAAUUCGAGAGGAAAAAUAGAAAGUGCGACGAGAUGUGUUCGCUCUCUUUAAAUAAAAGGAGGAAAAGAAAAAUAUCUAAAACUUUUUUCAGAUUUGAUUUGGUGUAAUGGCUUACGCAAUAUAAAGGAAAGUAAAUAAAAUUUAAAAAUAGAAAAAGAAAAAUAAAAUCAUGUGGCUAGAUGGACACGCGCUGCGUCUAGGAGGUUCACAGUGUCAUGAUCCUAACACACUGUGGGGUCCAUCCUUUAAAUGGAAUUAAAAUGGAAAAAUUGAAAAGAAAAACAAAUCAUAUGGGUCAAAACACGUGCUGCAUCUAGACGGUCUAUAGUUUUAAGACCAUCUCCUAUCAUAGGCUAAAAAACCAAAUUUAGCCUAUGUUAACUCCCACCAUAAGCUAAAUUACAUUUUCCAAGAUAAAAAAUUUGGUUUGAGCUAUUUUGUAAGCCAAAUUUGGCUUAUGAAGUUUGUAAGCUAAAAUUAAAUGUUAUUUUGUUUAACUUUACAUUUCUCCUUUAAAUUUAUACUAUCAUCAAAAUUAAAAAUUUGUUACUCACAAUCAUCGCGAAUAUCUCGACGAGAUCUUUCAUAUGAG
rnacentral:lncRNA from 1 species